CUUUUUUUUUUUUUUUUUUUUUUUUUUGCCUUAUCUCCGAGAGAGGUUGUGAAUCUUACAAAAGAAAAAUGAAAUGACUUGAGAGUCCCAACCAAUAAGUUAAUAGUGAUUGUCGCUUUCAUAUUGUGCAUAAGGGGUUAAAUUUGAGAGUCCCAACAAUAAUGAAUUCUAAAAACAAUUUUCAAGAAUAUACACGUAGAAGACCACAAAUUGCAUGCAAUGAUGCAGUGAAAAUUGAAAAUCUCCAAUCCGGCAAUCUCCCAAGUCUUCCCACAAAAUAUAUUAGCCAACCAUCACAAAAGUCUUCCCAUUUCACAGUUCAGGAAAAUGGCUUCAACCCAAGAUGAGCAAAACAACAAGUCUACCAACCGGGCAUUGGAGCCGGAUCUGGAUACUCCAAACCAACCUGGGCUUGAAUUCGCCCAGUUUGCAGCCGGGUGCUUCUGGGGAGUGGAGUUGGCUUUCCAAAGAUUGGAAGGCGUUGUGAAAACUGAAGUGGGUUAUUCUCAGGGACACGUUGAUAACCCGAAUUACAAGUUGGUUUGUACCGGAUCUACUAACCAUGCUGAAGUGGUUCGGGUUCAGUUUGACCCUACUAUUUGCCCGUACGCUAAUUUGCUCUCUCUUUUCUGGGCUCGCCAUAAUCCCACCACUCUUAAUCGCCAGGUUUCAAAUGAUUUGGCUUUCAUAUAUAUUUUUUUGUUUCAUUUUCUGCUUUUUUUAUUUGUUUGUUAGUUAAUUUUUAUUUAAUUAAUUCAUAUGAAUCCUUUAUUUUAGUUGAAGAAAAAGUUGAAUUCCAAAUUUAGUAAUUAUUUUCUCGUUUCUGUUUCAAUUAUGGAUUUUUGGGCAGUGAAUUUGUUUGUCAGAGGGGAUUGGAACGGGAAAAAAAGUUCUUUUUUUUUUUAAUAUUAUCUUGGAACGGAAAGUUUCCUUUUGUUGUUGUUUUUUUUUUUUUUGCAAAUUUUUUUGGUUUGAGUUUGAAACGAAUAAAUUUGACAUGGGUUUGUUUUGUUUUAUCUUCAUCUUAAUUAUCAUUUGAUGUGAUAAAAAAUUUAUUCUUGGCUUGGGCAAUGAUAUGACCCAAAUUUCUUGAUUGAGGUAUUCUUCACUUUGGUGUAUAUAGAAUUUUGUAAGGGGGAACAAAGAAAAAAGGGAAUGUGGAGUAUUAAAUCUAACAACAAAGAAUGGAUAUCUACAUUUUCACCCCAAUUAAUUCGCAUGAUCAAAACAAGGGCUUAAUUUUCAGGUAACUGCAUUAACUGUUAACUAGGCGAAUACAAAAUCUAUUAUUAACUGUUAAUGCAUUAACUGCAUUAACAAAAUCUGUGGGAGAUAUUUUCUAAGUUGGUUUACGGAUUUUGGGUAUAGUGGUGGAGAUUAGAGGCAACGUUGAGCAAGAUGUGAACUUCUUAUUAUUGUUGCAUGGCUCAACAGUUUCAAAAAAGGUUGCCAUAGAAUUCAGUUGACGAGCUGUGUGUGCUACCAAGGAGCAAGUAAUCCUCCAAUGUUAUGUAGUUUUGCCUACCGGUGAGUAGGUAAUCCUCAACCAACGCUUUCGUGUUCUGGGCAUUUAGCGAAUGCUUCUACAGUGUUAGUAGGAAAGGGAACCUAGAGCUUAUUUGAGUGAGCUCCCCUAUGCAGAUUGAUUAGAUACCUUUAAAAGAAAUGCAGAGGAUGUAUUGAUCUCACUUGUGAUCAUGGUUUCAAAGUCGCGGUCGCGGUUGUGGCCCGCACCGUUCCACAUCGGUCUCAGUAUAUCUGUUGCGGUCUCGGCGAGACGCAAAUUUUUGAAACAUUUAAUAUUCUAAAAAUUGUGAAUAAUAUAAAAAAAGAUAAACAAAAAUAAUAAAAAUUAGAAAAAAUAAUAAAAAUUCAAGUUGACUUGGGGUGACUCGGGGCGAUUCGACCGUUUUUAUCUAUCUCGAAGACGUCUUGGCCGAGUUCUCGAUGAUCCUUUAUCUUGGAGUCAUCUCAUUCCGGUAUCGUAUCGGAGAGCUUCGUUCCAAUGACGACUCGAUCGAGUUGUCUCGGACUCGGUCGAGUCUUUGAACCAUGCUUGUGAGAAGAAUUCUUGGGAGGGCCAUUUUGGUAGUAUAUAGCAAAUCGAUUAGUGCUAAUUGAUUAGGAAUUUGAUGAUGGUUUCUCAACAAAGAAGUUGUUUUUUGGAUUAAAAUGUUCGACAGUGCAGGUCUUGCUUGUAUCUGUCAAUUCGGUUGCACAUCCUUCAGGUUGCUUAAGUUACUUUGCUGCUUGAUCUCUGUUAGGGUGGUGAUGUUGGCACACAAUACCGGUCAGGAAUAUACUACUAUAAUGAGACCCAGGCUCAACUAGCAAAAGAAUCACUAGAAGAGAAGCAGAAGGAAUACAAGGACAAGAGGAUUGUGACUGAAAUUCUUCCUGCCAAGACAUUUUACAGAGCCGAGGAGUACCACCAGCAAUAUCUUGAGAAGGGUGGAGGGAGAGGUAACAAACAGUCUGCUGAAAAAGGCUGUAAUGACCCAAUCCGAUGCUAUGGUUGAUGCAGGAGACAUUGCAGGCAUCAUACUCGAAUAAGGCUGUGAAGUAACACAUUUCGUGAUAUGUUGCAUUUAUGCGAUUAGACUUUUAACUCUACUUCACAUUGCAUGCUUCUAUUAUAACCUAAAUGCUUUCAGCUUUUAAGUUUAAACCUUUGGGUCAACCUGUGAUGUUUAUCAUAAUCACCUAUUGUAGCAAAGCCUGAACUAUCAUAUUUUGGCUACUUGUAUUAUAUAUAAUAUGGAGAUGUCUCUUGCAGAACAACCAAUUUGUUGGAUAAAGUUUUAUUAAGAUUUGUUUGAUCCGAGUUGUGGAGAUUCUGUGAGAAUAGGGAUCGUUUUAUUUUCCAAAAAAUGUCUCUAUUUUCCGAUGCAGUUCAUCGAUCAAGCAAAAGGAAACAGUUGACACCAGCUAUAGUAUAUUGAGAUCAUUAGUAUUCUUUUGGUCGUUAUAUUUAAAGGAGGAUAUGAGUAAUUCUUUUCAUCUAAAGAUAGGAAAUGCUCUUAUUUGGCAAAUUCAGUGAUGGCUUUUCUCGAAGGGAAAUAAAAGAUAUAGACGAGAUAAAAUUUUUAUUGACCCAUCAAUCUUCUUUCAAUCUCAAUACAUUAGUAUCACAAUCACAGUGGAAUCAGUACGAAGCGAUUUGAAGUUUCAAAGUUUUAAGAGUUGACGAGAACUGCAACUAGGAGAGGAAAGCAAUAUUAUCACUAGCUUUUCACAGUAAAAGAAACUAUGCUGUGUUUAGAGUUCAUCCUUAGUCUCAGAUGCAUCAGCAGCUCCAACAGGAUUACUGGAAGAGUUUUUGAUCGGAUAUGAGGGUUCCAUGGCUAUACCACAAAGUCCCUCUUUAUCAUCUAUCCCGCGCUGCAUCCUGAUGUAGCCUUUCUCUCCCCAUUCAGUUCCCCAAGAAUUCCUCACAAUCCAAUAUUUGGUUCCAUCAAGGGUAGUUCCGUAGCCUACAAUUGCCACCCCAUGAUCCAGUUCUGUUCCACAGUCUCCAGUAAAUACUCCCUGUCAUCGGAAACCAACAAAUGUUAGAUAUUAAUCAGAUAAAAUCCAUAAAACCUCUUGUUAUUCUGAGUCUCUUCUCGUUUGCUAUAGAUAUGUGAGAUGCAUCUCUUAAAUGUGAUCUUUGAGACCUGGUCUCAAAGUACUAUGAAAUGCUGAUGGUCUAUUAUGUAAGAUAUAUGAUUAAAAAAGGUUUACCUCAGAGUAGAACUGAAAAUCAGAACCACCGGCAUCUAUGGCAACAGAAACAGGUUGGUUGGCCGCUGCUUUCAGAAGUGCAUCCUCAUCAUUGGGAGGUACAUCUUCAUAUCCGUCGAUUGAAACUACUGGCUGUUUCAACUACAAGUUGAAGCAUUGUGUUCACGAAAAAAUAUAUAAGAUCAGGUACAUCUCAUACUAAGCUAUCAAAUUAGUUGCUUUACAAUUCAAUGCUACAAACUUUACCUUCCGCGUAUCACAUCUACCAUCCGCUGCCUUGUAGGGAUAGUUUUGCUCACUGGUGAUACCUCCCUGUUUCUUGAUGAAUUGGAACGCUAAAUCCAUCAGGCCACCAUUGCAACCUUGAUUAUCUGUGUUGUCACAAUCGACAAGUUCUUGCUCCGAUAAUGAAACUAGCUUCUUUGUUCUGAUAUAGUUUAUUCCCUCAACUGAAACCACUGUUGAAAAUGCCCAACAACUACCUGUAGUAACAUCAUCAAGAAAGAAUAUGCAAUCAUAAGCAUCAUCAUAACCAAUUCCAGAGUUCAAAUCUUAAUUUGUAGCAAUUUAUAGACUGCAUAUAUCAGGAUAUUUUUAACAGUAGUCUUACCACAUUGGCCUUGAUCCUUUAUAGGAUUUACAGCACCUUUCUGCCUCCAAUCAACGGAAGGUGGAGCACGAUCAACGUUAGCAUACAUAAAAGUUCCAUUGUCAGCCUUUUGUCCUCUGAGCAAUCUGUGAUGCUUAAUCUUGGAUCCAGCAUAAAAGCUUCUGAAUUCAUGGCUAGUCAGGUCAGCAAACUUGUUAAGUUUCAACUUGUAAGGUUUGUCCUUCUUGUUGAACUGAUGGACAUGGAGAACAUUUGAUUUGAACACAUUGAACCUCUUAAGCUUCUCAUCAAGACUUGUGGAGUCCCUAUGAUGGCUUCUCCACCUCUCGUACAAAUCCCACAAACUCUCCUCAGUUUCUAACUCCUUUUCAUGGAAGUCGAAACUCGAUCCGAUCUCAAGAACUAAAGCUAAAGAAAGAGUAACAAGCAAGAACUUCUUCAUUUGCAUUGAAAUUGUGCCUAGUGAUCAGCAAAGCGUACAAGUUAUGAUAUGGCAAGUAAGUGACUGCUUUGUUUAUAUAGAAAACUUGAUCUAAGAGAUAGAAGGAGGAGGUAUGGUUGAACGAGAUAAGCUAAUAUUCCUCAAUGAUAUCGAUUUAAAUGAUUCCUUAUGGGUAAGAACAACCUAAAAAUAAUUAUGAUACUCUAUGGUCAAGGACUCAUGAUAGGGCAGCAUGAGAAUGUUUAGUACAGAGAUGGAUGGAGUGUUUCUAGCCUAUCCUAUCCAGGUUGAUUAUACAGGCAAGGCCUUUUAUAAGUUCAUAUGGUUAGUAAUUUAAACACUUUAAGCAAGGAAAGAAGAGAAAAAAGGCUGUUCAGGGAAUGAGCAGUUAUGAACCUUGCAUUGCGCGAGUAAACGGAAUUCCUUCUCAACUGACUUCCAAGAAUUGGGAACCUUUUUGGUCAUAAAGUUUCCUUGUUCAAAUUCUUGUGCUUUUCAACCUGUGCUAAUGUCAUAAGGGACUCUAGGUCCAAGGAAGGAGUUAAAAUUUUGAGAUUAAUUUCCAAGGUGCAAUUUCUAUUUUCCAAACCUUUCCUAUAACUUUUCUAUUGAAAAUUGUGUGAAUUUAUCAAUUUUUUUUUCAUUGACAUUGGUGUGAAUUAGCUCAAAAUUUGUUUCUAUUGACAAAGAAUUUAAAAAGAAAGAAAAGCAAAAAGCCCUUAUGAAAUAAGUAUUAUGGGGUGGUGGACUUGGGGAAGCUAACACGCUAGCUAUCAUGUUGUGUGGUAGCGCAAGGGAAGGAGAGGUGACGAAUAUAGCGGUUAGUUACGUUGUUAGGGACUCUUAUGCCACGCUUUCUUGCAUAGUGGCGAAAUAAAGCGUUAUUAACUGCUACUUUUGCUUAUCCGAAUUCAGAUAUUUUUCUGCAACAUUUUUCUCUAAAAAGAAAUAUGAACAAUUCUUCUCUUGGGAACAAAUUACAUGACCAUUUUUUUUGGGGCUUAGUUUCUCUUAGGUAUAGGAGUUAUUCCUAUAAAGUUCUUCAUUUUUCUUUCUUAUUAAAAAAUUUUGGAACAACGAAAAAUAAAAUGAUGGGAAUAAGUGAGGUAAGAAAAGGAAUGAAGAAUGUGGAGUGAAAAGCUUAAAAUAUUUUGGCUGCCUUGGGAAAGGGUUAUUUGAACAAUUUGCUGGCCUUGUUACUACGAAAUAUAAAAAAAAAAUUAUGUCUUAUAAGGGGAAAAAAAUAAAUUCUCCUCCAAAAUUAGUAAAUUUUUUUUGCAUUUGGAAGCCUAAGUAUUAUCUAUUUACCUCUAAAUAUUAUAACAACGUGAUUGAAGUUGACCAAAUGUUUUAAUACAUAUUUAUGUAUUAAUAUAGUGAAAAUUAAAAACUAUAUAUUCUUAGACGUAGUAUUUCGGGCACGAAAGUCGACUUGUUCUUAAGAUAAUCCGACUGAUUAGGUCUGAUAACUAUUAACUAAUCAAAUGUAAACUCUAUAAAUGUGGAUCAUCUAAAGAAAAGUGUCAUACUUAGAAUAUUGUUUUUUUUUUUAAAAAAACUUAGAACUUUAAUAACGAAUACUCCAAGCCAAAAAGCUAAGGCUCAAGGCCUUAAGGGUAUCCUAUCCUUUCUCCUCUAUCCAUAAUGUAUUACUUUGUUUACUUCAACUGCACAAAUAAAAAAUGCAAACUUUGAGUUGAUUUUCUUUGAAAAGAUGAAGAGUCUUUAGUUUGAUAAACAAGUUUUGCACUUAAAAAUGUCGUGCCCAUGAAUCCAUUACCUUCGUGUUCUUUGUUGCGUUUGUCAUGUUUCAACUGAAGCUUCCAUCUGAGGAUACCAUACAUAAAGAUGGGAUUACACCAAAUUCCUCCCUCAGCUAUGCAUUAGGUUUUGCCAAAAAAAAAAAGAAAAAAGGGAACAAGUUGCUUGUAGGACUUCUUUAGCCGGGGGAUGGGGGGGCGCGGGUUUUCCAAUCAAGAAGGGGCAAGAGUUAAACUUUUUGUCAGUUACAUGUUUUUCUAUCUAUAGGUCUGAUGAUUAUUAUGCUUUCCUUGGUAAUGAAAGGUGCAAAGUAGUAUAAUUAGUUGCUUGAUUCAUAAGUGACAUUUCUUUGGUUUAGUGAUAAGUGUAAGCUUAACUGCCAAUUAAUAAUCAACCUGAUGUAUUCGUUUAGGUAAAAUAUAGCUAGAGUUGUCAAAAGAGGUGAUUCGGACGGUUUGACCAGGUUAUAAUUGAGCAAUGAGUAUAACUAGGUUAAAUCAUUUAUACCCAUAUAUAUAUAUAUAUAUAUAUAUAUAUAUAUGUAUAUGGGUAUAAAUGAUGGGUAUACAUUUAAUGAAUGGGUGUAGGUAUAUCAUCCAAUUAUCAUUUAUGAGUCACUUAAAAUUCUACUUAUUUUUUUUUUCUAUUUUUUCGCAUGUUGCUUCACAAGAAAUAAUGGUAUUUUGUUGUUAUUAAAUUGGUAAGAAAUUCAAAUUUAUUUUCUUAAUAAUCAUCAAAAGUUGAGUUUAAAUGUAUAAUUAUUUUUAAAUUGGUAUAAGUGAGUGAAUCGAGUCAACCCACUACGCACCAAUUAAAUGAAUUUAAUUGGUUAUCCAUUUUGACCCAUUUAAAAUUAAUGAACAACAAACUUAAAAAACCCAAUUUAUAAACAAAAAUUCUUUACACAGGAAGGGUAACGUACCUAACCCUUUCUCGAUAUUAUUGUUACUCUAUCACCAGUUGAUCAACCAAGGAAAAAUACAAAACUCAAACUCGGAAAAACGAUAUAAUUCCGAUAAGAAAGAUAAUUAUACCAAGAAUAGUGACGUAGAAACUGCAUUGUGCUUGGGAGAAGAAACUUGACAAUUGUACUCUCACAUAUAUUCAGAACUAGGAAUUUCAAACAAUUUAAACUAAGCCGAAUCCAAUAACGUUGAAGAGGAAUAUUUCCCCCCUUUUUGUUUUUAGUGCUGAUGCUAUGAAAAGUUGGCUUUGACAGAUUAUGAAUCUUUGUCGACAAGGCAAAUUCCAAUCAGAGUACACUAACUCAUUAAAGUUGGCUUUACUUUAAUGAGUGGUUUGAACAAGAAGGUAACAGCACUGGUGCAUUGUGCUCAAUAUUAGCAAAAGAUGCAACCAUGGCAAGAUCUCUGGUUGCUUGCAGAUUGGCGUUCCUCGUUCAGUCGAUUUCGGGAGUAGCUUUGGCAGUCUUUUUGUCAUUGGCACUGUCUUGGAGACUUGAUCUUGUGGCUUUUGCAAUACAAACAGCUGCCAUCGGUGCCUUUUAUCUCAAGGCCAAGAUGAUGACUAGCAUAUCCAAGAAAAUGUUGCAAUCACAAAACAGAAGCAAUGAGUUAGCAAGUGAGGCAGUUGGAAACCAUAGAAUUAUUACAGCAUUUAACUCUCAGGAAAAGGUGAUGACAUUGUUCAAAGAAGCACAGAUAAGCCCCCAAGAAAGAGAGUCCCAAACAAUAUUAGUAUGCUGGUCUAGGACUAUUCACCUUAGUGUUUCUUGUAUCAACAAAUAUGGCAUUACUUUUCUGGAAUGUAGGCAAACUCAUUAACCGUGAAAAGAUGUCGUCCAAGUUUUUUUUUUUUUGGCAGCAUAUUUCAUUAUGAUGUGAGCGGGAAAGGUUAUAGCAGAGGCUGGAAGCAUGACAAUGGAUCUAUCAAAAGGAACAGAUGCACUGAAGUCAUUCUUCAUGAUUUUGAAAAGGCUGACCAAGAUGGAACCUGAUGAUCCAGAUGCCAUUAUCCCUUCAAAUUACAUGGAAGAAUAGAACUAAAAGACGUGGAUCUCUUCUAUUCAACAAGGCCAAAGCAGAUGGUCUUAAACAAUCUGAGUAUAACAAUUGAAGCAGGGGCAGUGGUUGCUUUGGUCGGUCAAAGUGGCUCCAGAAGGUCGGUCAAAGUGGCUCCAGAAAAUCAACCAUCAUCAGAAUGAUUGAAAGAUUCUAUGACCCUGCAAAGGGGUCAGUUGAAAUAGAUGGAAUUGAUAUAAGUCAUAUAAUCUGAGAGCCUUGAGGUCACCGAUUGCCUGGGUUGGUUAGGACGCUUGCCUUUUUGCAGGAACUAUCCAUGAAAACAUCGCUUAUGGAGCAGAAGGUGCGACUGAAGCUGAGGUUGCUGAGGCUGCAACUCUUGUAAAUGCCCAUGAAUUCGUAAGGUUGGUUUAUAUGAUACCAUUUAUCAUUUGAUCAAUCUAUUUCUUACUAUUUUUUAUGCUUACUGAUUUCAAUUAACAGUUCAAUGCAGAUGGUUAUCAAACAUCCUGUGGAGAAAGAGGAGUGCAGUUAUCAAUAUCAUCAGGACAAAAGCAAAGGAUAGCUAUUGCUCGUGCAAUGUUGAAAAGGCCAAGAUUUUCCUGUUACAUGAGGCAACAAGUGCAUUGGAUGUUAAAUCAGAAAAUCUUGUACUAGAUGCCCUUGACAAGACCAUGACUGGCAGGACUGUGUGAUUGUGGCUCAUAGACUAUCUACAAUUCAAAAGGCAAACAAAAUUGCCGGAGAGGGUUCUGAUGAUCAAUUGCUUGCAAAAGGAGAAAAUAGGCCUAUUAAUGCACUAGUAAAACUCCAACACCAGGCUGCAGCCAAAUAAAGAGCCACCUAGCUAGCUAGGCUGUGGAGGUCAUGGUAAAAGAAUCAUCUGAAUCGAGAAGUUGGGUGCUUUCGUUUCAUAGUUAUAUUUCAAGUUGAAGUAAUAUUCAAAACCAGCAAGAGGAAAAAAACCUUUGGGCUGGUGGCCAUCACCUAACUUGGUAACCCUUGCCUCCCACGAAAAUGCCACAUUUAAGUGGUUUGUUUAAAAAAAAAUCCAGGCGGAUGUGUUGUGCAUCCGUUUGGUCUGGUGAUGGUUCAGUCCCCUCUGGGUUAUUUCUGGACCUCCUUAGGUCUGCCCCCUCCCCCUUAGUAUAGAAUAGAUUAGGUUAUACAACUGUUGUCGUCUCCGAAAAAAAAAGGAGAAGAAAAUUUUUAACUCUUUCAAUAAUUCCAUACCAUCUUGUAACUUUUGUCUACAAAUUUUACCUAUAUAUAACAAGCAAAGAACAAAAAUUGUCGGUCUUAAUUUAAUCCAUACCAUCUUGUAACUUUUGUCUACAAAUUUUACCUAUAUAUAACAAGCAAAGAACAAAAAUUGUCGGUCUUAAUUUAAUCAUUCAUGUUUCAUAUUUGACAAAUUUGUCUCACUAUCUUUACAGAAAAAGAACAUUCUUUUUAUCUGUAUCAAUAGGCAUGAAUCCAAUGAACCAAAUGUGAGGAAGGCUUCAUUAAAAUAAUACUAGCCAACUCAUGAAUUAUAAUCAACUAGGAAAGAGCACGUGCAUUUCACAUGUAUAUUGUCGAUCAAAACUUGUUUAACUUUUAAAUUUAUUCUUAAAUUGCCUUUUCAAUUAGUCAAACUACUUAAUGGUUGAUUAAAAUUUUUUCUUUCAUUAUUUCCUAUCUUAGUUUCUCUUGGAUUUGUUCAUAUUCUUUUGUAAUGUUUAUCUUUUGGUUAUAGUACAGUUUAUUUUUUUUUUGGUUAUCAAGGAGAGCUAAGCAGCUCAAUACAUAGAUACUAAACGGGGGGUGGUUACUCCCACAAUAUCCAAGUUCAUCCAUCUCUGAACUAUAUCCGAUGGGCUCUGGAAACGAUACAACCUUGGCUCCUUCUUGAGGUUAUCUUUAGCUAAACAAUCCGCACUAUUGUUUCCUUCUCGCCAAAUAUGCGAUAUCCUUACCUCCCAUUUCUUGUGUCUCCACUGAUCAAUUUGUUUUAGCAGGUUAGAGUAAGGGCUCAAGUGAGGUGGCUUGUCCAAAAGCAAAAUCGCAGCUUUUGAAUCUGUCUCUACAAUCACUCUCUUAUGUCCAUCUUCCCAGGUCAACUGUAGUCCAUGUAUGAUUCCUGAAGAAGCGCAGAGCUUCCCCGAGGAGAGCUGACCUGAUCAGCUCGGGGUGUCGAUGGGAGGGCUGAUCCAAAACCUGCAAAACAGAGAGGAUGAGCCAAGAGAGGGGGCCCGAGGGUUGUCCCCGAGGGCGCUCCGACGGCCAAGUUAGUUUUCCGGUGAGUAAGGUUCACGGGAAGCAGCAACUGUCCAGAGUAAAUUGUCAAUAGUCAGCGUACCUUGGGCAAUGGGUGUGUAGCACUAUUUAUACCUGGGUCAGAGUCCGACCUCCGUACGUUCCGAGACCUUCCUGAUAUAAUCUCAAUCCCGCGCCGAGCGGGAUUCCGACCUCUGCGGGACGGUCUCCUGAUCCCCCUGGAGCCCUAGCGGGGGUGCGGCCCAGGGCGGUCGCCAGGAGCCUGGGGCCGGAACCCAGCUCGGCUAUACCUGGGCUGCCACGUGUCUAGGCCCAGUACGGGGCCUCUGCACUAGCCCCCUAGAUUAGGUAAGGCUUCCAGGCAGACCUAAUCUAUACUCUGUCACGUGGGAGACCAGCGUCGCGCACUGCUCUGCCCCGGUCACCUCUGGUACAGUACUGUCACUGAGAAAACCGCGCCGAUCUCCCGGGUCGAGCGUCAAACUCCCAAGUUUCGACAAACUUGAUCAAUGCGUGCCGAGCUCAUGGGACCGAGCAUCAAAUUAACACUGACAUGGUUUAAGCCCCCGACUUUUAAAGAUUUGAGCCCUGCCGACCUCCUGGGUCAAACAAACUCAUUCAAGUUAAGGCACAACGUGCCGACCUCUUGGGGCCGAACAUCGCACUUUCCGACUUCAAAAUUUCAAGCCGUGUCGGUCUCUUGUGGCCGAGCAUCAUACUUUGAAGGCAGUCACGCCGACCUCCCGGGUCGAGCGUCGAACUCUGAUUUUAGAGGAUAUGCCAACCUUUUGGGGUCGAGCAUCACAUUUCCAAGGCAGUUAUGCCGACCUCGUGGGUCGAGCGUUGAACUCCAGGAAUUUAGCAGACGUGCCGACCUCUUGGGGUCGAGCAUCACAUUUUCAAGGCAGUUAUGCCGACCUCCUGGGUCGAGCGUUGAACUCCAUGAAUUUAGCAGACGUGCCGACCUCUUGGGGUCGAGCAUCACAUUUUCCAGGCAGUCAUGCCGACCUCCUGGGUCGAGCAUUACAUUCUCAGGGCAAUCGUGCCGAUCUCCUGGGCCGAGCCAGCGUGCUCCCUGGUUUUGACAAGCUGCCUCAAAGUAAGUCACGGCGUGCCGACCUCUUGGGGUCGAGCAUCACACCUUCAAGACGGUCAUGCCGAUCUCUUGGGUUGAGCGUCAAGCCCCCCGUCUUUAACAGGCGUGCCGACCUCUUGGGGUCGAGCAUCGCACUCUCAAAUUUCGCAAUUUCAAGCCGUUUGCGGACCUCAUGGGGGGUUUUUCCGUCCUCUCCGCUCUCCGAGCCCCCCGCGCCCCGGGCCGCCUCGGUCUCCGCUCGCCAGGAUCCCUCGCCGGCUCUCGGGCCGGUGCUCUCAAUGGUUCGCUUGGAUCGUGUUCUUGCCAUCAACACAACAAUAAUUACCUUGCGUUUCCCACAGACGGCGCCAACUGAAGAAACGCAGAGCUUCCCCGAGGAGAGCUGACCUGAUCAGCUCGGGGUGUCGAUGGGAGGGCUGAUCCAAGACCUGCAAAACAGAGAUGAUGAGCCAAGAGAGGGGGCCCGAGGGUUGUCCCCGAGGGCGCUCCGACGGCCAAGUUAGUUUUCCGGUGAGUAAGGUUCACGGGAAGCAGCAACUGUCCAGAGUAAAUUGUCAAUAGUCAGCGUACCUUGGGCAAUGGGUGUGUAGCACUAUUUAUACCUGGGUCAGAGUCCGACCUCCGUACGUUCCGAGACCUUCCUGAUAUAAUCUCAAUCCCGCGCCGAGCGGGAUUCCGACCUCUGCGGGACGGUCUCCUGAUCCCCCUGGAGCCCUAGCGGGGGUGCGGCCCAGGGCGGUCGCCAGGAGCCUGGGGCCGGAACCCAGCUCGGCUAUACCUGGGCUGCCACGUGUCUAGGCCCAGUACGGGGCCUCUGCAAUUCCCUAUAGCUCCGCAGCUAUAUUCGAAGCUACUCCCAAAUUCACCUCAAACCCUCAUUUCCAUAUACCAAACUCAUUUCUCAUAAUCCCUCCAACUCCAGCCACCCCUGGAUUGCUUGCUGAUGCCCCAUCUAUAUUUACUUUGGUUCAACCCAUUGGUGGUUUCUCCCGGUGAAUGAAGUGCCAAUCCUUCCUGUGUGUAUCUGUUUCGGUUAAAGUUGUUGUCUGUGCCUGUCUCGCACGAGCCACAAUCUGAUUAGUCGAAACUUGCAACCUUGACCCCCCUCCUAUUAUGUUAAACUCAUUCCUCAUCCUCCAAACUGAAUACACCAUUUUUUGAAAAAUAAAUUGCCAGCAUAUAUCAUCAUGGACUCCCAACUUAACCAUUCUCAGGUUCCAGUCCAACCGUUCCCUAUAAUCCAUGGUCAUAAACUCCUCCUAUCUGUUUGGGUGAACCAGACUCUCCCAUUUUCUUUGUACUCUAGAACAACCUCUUAGAGCAUGCAAUACCGAUUCUUUCGCUCGUUUGCAGACAGGGCAUUUGCCAUCAAUAUGCAGGUGUCUUUUUUUUUUUUUUGGCAUUGGUGAUCAAACUUCCAUGUCGAAUUAACCAUAACAAAAACUGCCAUCUACCAGGUCCUUUCUGUUGCCAAAUUUUAUCCCAACCACGAUCCAUGCUUUCCCCUCCAAGCGAAUCUGAACAUUCCACCUCAUAUGCUGAUCGAGUUGAGAACCUUCCAUUCGCCUCAUAUGCCCAGCACACUACAUCACCAUUCUGGUCUCCUGGAAUUACAUAUAAAGCUCUGAUUUCUAACAAGCGCCGCUGCACUAAAUAUUCUGAGAACUCGUUUCAAUUCCAGCCCCUUGUGGCGUCCCAAUACUGAGUCACCGUCCUGUCCAUCACUUCCUGUUAGGAAAAUUAGUAAUAACUACAACAACAAAAUACAGCUUUGACGUGAAAAUUCACUUUCCUUAAGAAAAUUUGCCCCCAUUAUUCUAUUACCGGGUUUGCAGCAAUUCCCUCUACGAAUAACAAAGCCAAUCAGAAUUUCCACACAGUAGUAUGCAGAAACUCUCCCAAGACGAUUUAGAGAAUAUUGUUUUGAAUGAAAAUAGAAGAAAAACAAAAAGUAAAAGUAAAGUGAGGCCUCUGUUAUCUGGACGCUAUUAUUUAUAGCGUUCAGAUGCCCCAAAAGAAAUGUCAUGUCUUUUGGAUACGUAUUUCUUCAUGAAUAGGUACCUUUCCAAACGAAUGGACACGUAAACGGUUGUAUGUGUUGUAUCAUCAGAUGCAACCCCUAAAAGGAAACCGUUUAGUUAGGAAGAAAUAUUAAAAUGAAAUUAAUUAAAAUUAAUUUCUGUUCCAAAGUGAAACCCAAGUGCCAAUCUUUUGACCAUUAAAAUUAAAAUGAAACCCAAGUGCCAAUCUUUUGACCAUUAAAUUUAUAUUUUAAUUUAAUAGUCAACAUGACAAAUGCAUGUGAAAUUUUGAAGUUUCCCUCAAAAAUUUCCUUUUAUCCAAAUUGAUUUGAAUAGGUGUGCACUUGAUUAUAAACCUCUUCUAUUCUUCGUGUCUUUUCAAUGUGGGAUUCAUCACUAACUAUUUCCAACACUUCCUCUGGUAACUCUUUCAACACAUCAUUCGCUAAAGAUGAAUUCCCCACCCAAUAAUCUUUCCAGAAGCGAAUACGCUCGCCAUUUCCCAACCUCCAUUUCAAACCUUUCCUAAUCACUUCAUUUCCAAGUCUUAGACUUCUCCAAACUUGUGAAGCCCCUGUUUUGGGAGGCGUUUCAAACCUUUGGAAUUCCUCCUCACUACUAUAUUUAUUUCGAAGGAUUUCUGUCCAUAACGCUCCCUUUUGUUCGUGAUAUCUCCAAUUGAAUUUUGCAAGUAAGGAUUUAUUCACCUCUUUUAAUCUUCGUAUUCCUAAACCCCACUUGCCCCUAGCUUGGGUUACAAUUCCCUAGCCUAUGUGGUGCAUGCCUCUCCUAUCCUCUGUUCCAUUCCAAAGGAAGUUCCUCAUGCAUUUCUCUAACUCAUCCAAUAUAGAGGUGGGGAUUGCCAUUGUUUGCAUCAUGUAAGGUGGGAGUGCCGAUAGCAUUGUUUUUAUCAAGGUGACUCUCGCUGCAUACGACAAACACUUCUUCUUCCAGCUCGCAAGUUUACCCUGAACUUUAUCUAAUAAACCCGAAAACAUCUCUUUAGACACCCGAUUAUGGAGUAGUGACAUUCCCAAUUACCGACCCAAAUUGUGUGUGAUCCUCAUCCCUGUUUGGGCACUAAUCUUCUUUACUAUCCUUCUGGAUAUGUUCUUGGAACUAAACAAACUGGAUUUAGCCACAUUAACUUUCUGCCCAGACAUAUUACAAAACUUCUGCAUUACGUGAGCUAUAACUUUAGCUUGCUCCAUACUAGUUUCCGAAAAUAAAAUGAGGUCAUCUGCAAACAUCAGAUGAGAUAGUUUUAGACCUGUUCUGGAAGCUUGAAUUGGUUUUCACCUGCCUACCCCUACUGCUUCAUGUAUCAUGUGACUUAACCUCUCCAUACAGAGUAUAAAUAAAUAUGGAGAUAAAGGAUCACCCUGCUUCAAUCCCCUUAAGGGCCACAUAACGCUUUUUCACAAUUCUUUAGUUUGUACUCUUUUUUCAAGUAUAGAAAGCGCCAUGGAAUGUAACCUGAGAUCCUUUUUUUAUUAGUUAUGAGCAAAAACUCAGUGGAUUUAGGAAGAAAAAUGGCUAAAUCUAAUGGGUUUAGGAGCUUGCCACCACUGCUUCUCCAACUAAUUUUUAUUGACUUUUUUCCUUCUUCUUUCUUCUUCUCCUUUGAAGGUUUCUAACCCAAAUUCUAAUUACAUCGUAAUCCCCAAGUGAGUAUAAGAGAACCGGAUCCCAUCAUUUCAUGUCCAAAAUAUAGUAUAGAUACAAAUGUCAUGACUGAUAGUUGUUGUAUAAUGUUUUUGAACAAAAAUGAUACAGCAUACAAGGACGUAAUUCAUAGACAAAAAUUCUUGUCGAAAAUAAACUAUCGACUAAGUUGGAUUACAAAAUUUUCACAAGAAACAUCUGAAAAAUUGUCUGCUCGCCUAGUUCCUGACCGGCCAUUCCAUCCUAAUGAAUUCAAUAAAUUAUUUCACCUUAAUUUCCAUAUUCUCAUAAUUUUAACAGCCUACCAUUGUUGUCCUGAAACUUUCCAUGCAAAUCAACAGUGACAAUUAAAGUUUGCAUUCAACCUAAUCUUUAGCUUCAUUUUUUUUUAUCCAAAUUCAAUGUUUGAAUUGAAUUGACUAAUAUUACUAUCCAAAUGGGAUGCAACCUUGUUAAUGCUAAAGUAAUAUCACCAAUCAAGAAUAUAAACAAGAAACAACCAAAAGCAAUACUAGAGAUCACAUUCCAUAUCUCUAGGCAAAUAUGAUUGCAAUUUUUAUAUUCCAAAAUUUUUUUUACACAAUUUGUAUAAUAAUGCAACCUUCUUCAGUCCAUGUUCCCUUUUUAGCUAUCACUUUUAUUUUAUUUUAUGUACUCUGUAUCACCGUUAUUUUUUUCACCCAUAUUUAGUUUGACAAUAAAUAUGAUCCGACAACUUGUCAUUUUGCAAUUUCAAUUCAAUAAUACUUAUUAAAAAAGGAAAAACAAAAGGGAGAAGAUCUAUUUGCAGAAAAAUAGUGGAUUAUGAAAUGUAGGAGAAAGAAAGUAGUUAAAAUAGUUCGAAAGUUAGAAUAAAAAUUUAUUUUAUGUUGCAACCGUUGUUUUAAAAUGAAAGAGUAGUUGUUUUAAAAUGAAAUAAUGGAUUUGGAAUACUUAACACUUGAAUAAUUAAACAAUCAUAUUUUUUUAGAAAAUACAAUCCGCCAUUAUAUGCUAAAGAGAAACUUUACAUCCCAAAAACCAUAUCAAAGUCACACAUUUAUUAAGCGUGUUUAUCCCAGAAAUCAAGUUGUGGGUAGAUAAUUAAAAAACAGGCAUCAGCAUCAACAAAAACAUUUAUUUCAGCACACAUAUGAUAAAAACAAAGUGGCUGUUAGUAUAGCAGUAAAAUAAACAGCCCUUUAACAAAACAUAACUUUCUUAGAGAUUUCCUCAUUUGCUGUCUUUAGGUAGAUACCAUAAAAAAUUAAGGUAGCUUUCACAUGAGUAGCAAGUUAGUAUAAACGAAGCAACAGAUUAAAUUUAUCCAACAAACAGACAAAUUUGUUCCUAGUUGUUGGUUCUGAGUCUUUCCCUACAAAAGUAGUUGCAGCACACAUAGCAUUUCUCAACAAUUCUUUAGUUUGUACUCUUUUUUCAAGUAUAGAAAGCGCCAUGGAAUGUAACCUGGGAUAUGUUUUAGUUAUGAGCAAAAACUCAGUGGAUUUAGGAAGAAAAAUGGCUAAAUCUAGUGGGUUUAGGAGCUUGCGUCCACUGCUUCUCCAACUAUUUUUUAUUGUCAUUUUGAGGGUUUCUAACCCAAAUUCUAAAUACACCGUAUUCUUCAAGUGAGUAUAAGAGGACCAGAUCCCAUCAUUUCAUGUCCAAAACAUAGUAUAGAUACAAAUUUGAUGAUUGAUAGUUGUUGUAUAAUGUUUUUGAACAAAAACGAUACAGCAUAUAAGGUCGUAAUUUGUAGACAAAAAUUCUUGCCGAAAAUAGACUAUCAACUAGGUUGGAUUACAAAAUUUUCACAGGAAACAUCUAAACAAUUGUCUGCUCGCCUUUUUCCUGACCGGCCAUUCCAUCCUAACGAAUUCAAUAAAUCAUUUCACCUUAAUUCCCAUAUUCUCAGAAUUUUUAUAGCCUACCAUUGUUGCCCCGAAACUUUACAUGCAAAUCAACAGUGACAAUUAAAGUUUGCAUUCAACCUAAUCUUUAGUUUCAUUUUUAUUUUACAUAAAUUCAAUGUUUGAAUUGACUAAUAUUAUUAUCCAAAUUCAAUCCAAAUGGAGUGCAACCUUGUUGAUGCUAAAGUAAUUUAACCCAUCAUGAAUAUCAACACGAAACAACAAAAAGCAACACUAUAGACCACAUUCCAUAUCUCUAGGCAAAUAUUAUUGCAGUUUUUAUAUCCCAAAAUUCUUUUUUACACAAUUAGUGUAAUAUCGUAGCCUUCCUCAAUCCAUAUUCCCUUUUUAGCUAUCACUUUUAUUUUCUUGUAUGUACUUUGUAUCACCGUCAUUUUUUUCACCUUUAUUUAGUUUGAUAAUAAAUAUGAUCCGGCAACUUGUUAUUUGGCAAUUUAAAUUCAAUAAUACUUAUAAAAAAAAGAAAAACAAAAAAGGGAGAAGAUCUAUUUGUAGAAAAAUAGGGGAUUAUGAAAUGCAGGAGAAAGAAAGUAGUUAAAAGAGUUCAAAAGAUAGAAUAAGAGUUUAUUUUCCAUUGUAACCGUUGUUUUAAAAUGAAAUAAUAGUUGUAAUCGUACGAUUUUUUUGUUUGUUUGUAGGAAUUAUUUAUAAGUGUAGGAUAUUAUUUAUAAACUGCCACAGUGCAAACCCCGAACGAAACCCAUCCAGUAGCCAUGACCUUCAGAGCCACUUCCUUCUCCGCCAAGACCAGGCUUUUGCCACACAUCCUCUCAACCACCACCCCUCCUCCUCUUCCACCACCAUCACCAUCCUCUUUGGCUUUUAAACUAGAAAAAAAUUCUGCCAUUAUUAUUGCCUUCGGUUUGGUGACCUCUUUAACAGCUUUAAUAGAUUCUCCUACUAAAUACGAUUUUGAUAAGCUAAAAAUGAUUUUGGAAUAUAAGUUGAAAAAAAGGAAUAUUAAACUAUAUGAGAGUAUUGUGGCUACAGGUAUUGCUCAAAAAAAUGUGAGGGAAAAAAUAGAAGAUCUUCUUUAUCAAGACGCGGAAAUGGAGCAGGAGUACCAGAAUAUGAAGAAUGAGCUUGAGGAAGAAAGGGCAAAGCUGGCACGGGUGAAGGCAAACUUUGAGACGUACAAGAAAUCCCUUGCGGGUAGAGGGAUAUGAUGGCUGUCCUAGGGCUACAAGCGGUAGGGCCAGGAGGAAUAUGAGCUUGGACCGCAGCAGCCGCAGCGAAGGAUGAGACACUUCUGGCUAACCGGCGUCUCCAUGAAAUGGGUCGCACCUUUACGUGCUUUGAAUGUUUAAGGAUAUGAUUAGCCAUUAGCUAUUAGAUGCUACUACUUCAACCCUAUAUUUCUUGUUUUCUGGUAAUGUUAAGACUCGUUAUGGAUUAUAUUAAGGUAAUGUUAAGACUCGUUAUGGUAAAAAAAAUAUAUAUAUAUAUAUAUAUAAGUGAAGGAUAUUAUAAUCAUUUUACUACAUGAAUAGAGGUUAGUGUAAUUAUUUAAAUUUGAAGGGAGGUUAUUGAAGUUGUCAGAAACCUCAGAGCACAAAAAUAUGCUCUGCUAAGAUUUAAAUCCCAAGAAUUAAAGGUCAUCCUGUAUCUUGCGCUUAUAUUUUUGGAUUAAGAAACCUAGCCACAAUUGACAAUUAAAUACUGUUCAAUUCUUGUUAUUGUUGUUCUCUCCAUAGAACUUAAAUUUUUUGGUUUGCCAGAUGGAUGUCCAAUCACUAAUUUAUUGGAAUUGUUGCCUUGUCCACAAAACUAUAAGUUUUUGAUUUGGCUUGUCCACAAAAUUUUAAUUUUUUUGGUUUGCCAAAUGGAUGCCCAAUCACCAAUUUAAGAUCAGUAAUUCAAGAAUGAUUUAACCUAACAAGUUGUCUAACAAAAGAAACAGAAACAGUUUAUCUUACUUUGUGAAAACAUAAGCUUGGUAUCAAAGAAGACAAAAACAAAAAUUUACCUAAGAACAUAAUACUAAAGAGUUUGUCUCUUGUAAAAUACUUUUGAAUUAUCAAAAAUAUGAUAGCAAGAAAUCAUGUCUAUUUAACUAAGAUGGUCUCUCAACAAUGAAAAUGAAUUUGUUUUAUUUGAUCAUAGAGCACCAGAAAAUCGAUAAAAUAGCAAUGACAUAACCCACAAAUCAGCAAAACCACCAACUUUUUUUUGCUUUGAUUAGCAAUGCUCAAAGUGGUCUAGAUUCAUCUAAUGCAUGAACAGUCUUGUCUAUCAUAAAUAAUGGAUUUGGAAUACUUAACACUUGAAUAAUUAAACAAUCAUAUUUUUUUAAAAAAUAUAAUCCGUCAUCAUAUGCUAAAGAGAAACUUUACAUCCCAAAAACCAUAUCAAAGUCACACAUUUAUUAAGCGUGUUUAUCCCAGAAAACAAGUUGGGGGUUGAUAAUUAAAAAAAGUGGCAUCAGCAUCAACAAAGACAGUUAUUUCAACACCUAUACGAUGAAAACAAAGUGGCUAUUAGUAUAGCAGUAAAAUAAACAGCCCUUUUAACAAAAUAGAACUUUCUUAGAGAUUUCCUCACUUGCUGUUUUUAGGUAGAUACCAUAAAAAAUCAAGGUCGCUUUCACAUGAGUAGCAAGUUAGUAUAAACGUAGCAACGGAUUAAAUUUGUCCAACAAACAGACAAAUUUGUUCCUGGUUGUUGGUUCUGAGUCCUUCCUUACAAAAGUAGUUGCAGCACACAUAACGUUUCUCCACAAUUCUUUAGUUUGUACUCUUUUUCCAAGUAUAGAAAACGCCAUGGAAUGUAACCUGAGAUAUAUUUUUUACUAGUUAUGAGCAGAAACUCGGUGGAUUUAGGAAGAAAAAUGGCUAAAUCUAAUGGGUUUAAGAGCUUGCCACCACUGCUUCACCAACUAUUUUUUAUUGACUUUUUUCCUUCUUUUUUCUUCUUCUCCUUUGAGGGUUUCUAACCCAAAUUCUAAAUACAUCAUAACCCCCAAGUGAGUAUAAGAGAACAGGAUCCUAUCAUUUCAUGUCCAAAAUGUAGUAUAGAUACAAAUGUUAUGAUUGAUAGUUGCUGUAUAAUAUUUUUGAAAAAAAUGAUACAACAUACAAGGACAUAGUUUGUAGACAAAAAUUCUUGUCGAAAAUAGACUAUUGACUAGGUUGGAUUACAAAUUUUCACAAAGAACAUCUGAAAAAUUGUCAGCUAGCCUAGUUCCUGAUCUGCCAUUCCAUCCUAAUGAAUUCAAUAAAUCAUUUCACCUUAAUUUCCAUAUUCUCAUAAUUUUAACAGCCUACCAUUGCUGCCCUGAAACUUUUCAUGCAAAUCAACAGUGACAAUUAGAGUUUGCAUUCAACCUAAUCUUUAGCUUCAUUUUUUUUUUUGCCUAAAUUCAAUGUUUGAAUUAACUAAUUUUACUAUCCAAAUUCAAUCCAAAUGGGGUGCAACCUUGUUGAUGCUAAAGUAAUAUAACCAAUCAAGAAUAUCAACACAAAACAACCAAAAGCAACACUAGAGAUCACAUUCCAUAUCUCUAGGCAAAUAUGAUUGCAAUUUUUAUAUUCCAAAAUUCUUUUUUACACAAUUUGUAUAAUACUGCAACCUUCCUCAGUCCAUGUUCCCUUUUUAGCUAUCACUUUUAUUUUAUUUUAUGUACUCUGUAUCACCGUUAUUUUUUUCACCCACAUUUAGUUUGACAAUAAAUAUGAUCCGACAACUUGUCAUUUUGCAAUUUCAAUUCAAUAAUACUUAUUAAAAAAGGAAAAACAAAAAGGGAGAAGAUCUAUUUGCAAAAAAAUUGUGGAUUAUGAAAUGUAGGAGAAAGAAAGUAGUUAAAAUAGUUCAAAAGAUAGAAUAAGAAUUUAUUUUAUGUUGCAACCGUUGUUUUAAAAUGAAAGACUAGUUGUUUUAAAAUGAAAUAAUGGAUCAUCUUUUUUUAGAAAAUACAAUCCGUCAUUAUAUGCUAAAGAGAAACUUUACAUCCCAAAAACCAUAUCAAAGUAACACAUUUAUUAAGCGUGUGUUGAGAGGACCAUAUAUAAUGCCCAGUCUUAUCAUAUAGGACAAGUGCAGAUGAGUGAAAACUCAAUCAAACUCUGGUUUUAACUUUUGUCAAGUCAACAUAAAAUGGGAAAAAAAAUGGGAGCUUUUUGAACAGGUCUUAAUUUCAAAGAAACAAAGAAAUUAAAACAGUGAUCCAGUUCCUAUAUGUGAUUAUAGAUCCUAUAUUCAAGAUGUCUUGGUCACUUCUAUGUCAUUUUGAGGUUAAUAGCAUAGAAAACCUUUAACAGUCGAGAAAAUAUGAUUUCCCUAGUAAUGUGCUAUCUAAAUCUCAACACACAUCUCUUUUUCUAUACACAGCUAGCUUCAAUGCCAAAAUGUUGCUAACAGACAUUAAGGUUAAGAGUGACGUUCAAUGCCAAAAUCUUGCUGUACGACAACAAUACACAACAACUUAAAGAAGUAAAUGGAGAAUGACAUCAAAAAGGUAAUUUAUAGGAUAUCGAGAGUAGAAACUUACUCAUAGUCAUGCUGAUAUAGCUACUCAUGGUGAGCAAUCCUUACAGCUAUGAAGUUAUCACAUUCAAUAAUUAAUCUUUUGAAUUCUUGUUUCCCAUCAAAAUCUAACUCCAUGAAUAGUUCCAUUCUCAGUUGAAUACCUUUUAAUUCUGUUUCAAGUGUAUUUGUCAUUUCAGGAACUGUGUCAAAAAACAAAUAUCCUUCACAAGUCCCACCUAAUCUCUGAACACCCCUCCAAUGUAACCAACUCUUUUUGCCUCUCCAUUCUGAUGUUCCACACCAUUUUCUUUCUUCAUAUCUUCCAAUUAUCUCUCCAUUCUAGUGUUCCACACCAUUUUCAUGUAACCAACUCUUUUUGUCUCUUCAUUUUGAUAUUCCAUACCAUUUUUUUCUUCAUACCAGUUGAUAUUUUCCACAUAUUUUGCCUCCGCCAAUGAUGCAUCCACAUUGCAUUUCAAACAUCCCUUCAAGGUGUUGUCACCAUAACACUUGUGGUGAUCCAUUCAAGGGAUUGAUGCAUCUUUUUAUCGGAAUAAAAUUUUUUGUUCAAGUGACAAUACACAAAUCAUGCACCUAUCAUCCCAUCACAUAAUUCAACUCUUUUAGCACAUGGAAUCUUGUGCAUUCACUAACACCAACCAUCAGUUAAUACAAGCCUUUCCUUACAUGAGUUAUAGAAAUAUAUUGCUUUUAAUGAGAAUAUAAUACGAUAGUAACCUAAUAAACCUAAUAAAUGCUUCACUAUCCAUAUGAGAGAGAAUCAAUCAAAACAUUUUUUUUUGGUAUAAUGUGAUUCCAAAUAUUGUAUGGGAAGCAUAAACUUCUUUUUUAUCUAAUUUGUUUUAACUUCAUACUUUUCCUUCUUUCUUUUAGUUUAUAUUGACAAUUACUUGAUGAAGCACAUUCAAAUACACAAUAAACUUGAUAAAGAUAAAGUGAGCAUGCACAUAAUGGGUUUGUUUAGAUAUGUGAUUAUUUGGAAAUAAAAUUUUAAUUACAUCAUAAAAACAUUUUCAAAUCAUAUUUUUAGUUUUUUAACUACCUUUUUCCUUACAUAUAUUACGUCGAAAAAGUACUACAGUAAUAAAUGUCCGUGACAAUGCUAUAUUAAUAAAUGUUGUUUGCAUUCAUAAAUAUUUUAUUUUGACUUUUAAAAAAGCAUUUUGCUCUAAUUUUGGAAUGUACAUAUUUUGAGAUUUGCUUCAAGUCUUAGUUCGUGCUAACAAAAAGUUCAAAUUCUUUUUAUUUUCAUUCCUAUAAUACAUAGUAUGAAGAAUGUCCCAUGGAAAAUUAUUUUGUUUCUUUCUACUUGAUUUUAAGUACCUUGACAAAGUUAUGUUAUUUGUACAUGUAGGUUUAUUCUUUGUUGUGAAUAGUUUCUCAUCAAUAUUUGUGGUUCACUGAUCUAGUUCCUAGGUUUUUCUCAACCAUUUGAUAAAUGCAUAUUUUUUGAAAACUUUUUUAGAGUAAUUAGUUGUUCACUAUUGAAACUAAUUAUCUAUUGUCUUAUUAUCUUGAAACUAAUACAUCAUGUGACUCAAUUUGAAGAAGUGAUGCACUAUCUUUGUAGCUCCUAUUAGGCUAUCAGUUUCUUUUCCUUAUUUUUUCUUACUUGACUUUUCCUAGUAGUAGAAAUUUGUGCUUUCUAUUUUUUAUAUAGUUUUGGUAUUUUCUUUUUCUUCAAAGGAAAAACAUAUGACCAAUGAUUCAGAAUAUAGUGCAUCAACCAAAGUCCUAACUAACUAAAUUUAAAAAAUGGUAGAUUGUAAUGCUUAAUAAUUCAAGAGAUUGAUGUACAAAAAUCAAGAAGACCUUUCUGUUUAAGUGCCAAAUUGAAAGUUAAGUUUGUUCUUUCAACAUUUCAAUCAAGAAUGUCAUUUCUAGCCUUCAAAAAGUAAAGAUUUACUCACUUAGACUAAAAUGAAAAAGAUUUUUUGUGUCACUAAUUUUCGUUUUUUAUAAAACUGAUCUAAUAUCAUAAUUAAAAAUUUAAUAAGCCAAAUAAAAAUUCUAAAUGCUAGUCCUAUAUAAAUCUUCAAGACUAUUUGCCAAGAUAGAAAUAGUUAGGGGUAGAUCUGAACACUCAAAUAAUAAGACAUUGUAGAGUUACUUCAAAUCACUUUUGUGGAGUUUGACAUAUUUAUAACACGUUGCCCAAGGUAUAAUAGUGAGACCUAAAAUGUUUAUUGUUAGAAAUCUGAGUCUGUAAUCCAGCUAAUCCCUAUUUUUGGGGCUAUGUUAUUUAAUUUUUUGUUAGGCUAUGUUAUUUAAUGUUAGUCACCAGCAAAUCAUUUAAUGUUUUUAACUUUCACUCAAUGUUUUGAAAAUCGGACUGGGCCGGCCGGUUCGACUAGUUGAACCGCAAACCUCCCAUGCCUCCGGUCUGAUUCAAUUAAACACCCAAAGAGUUAAUUGAACAGGUCAAAACCGAUUGAAUAGGUCAAAAUUGGUAAAAAUAGGGAGGUUCAACCAGUUUUUAUUAAAUAUUUAUUUUUUAAAAUAAAUAUUUUAGUUUUAUUCAAAAUUUUUAAUACUAAAAUGAAUAAAAAAUUAUUAAACCUUUGAACCAGAGUCGAACCAGUUGAACCAGUCGAACCGUGAACCGAAAGGUUUUUCGGUUCACUCUCUGGUCCGGGUUUAAAAACAUUGCUUUCACUAACUUGUAAUAAUAGUCUUUAGGAUUGCUUGUGGGGUUUUUGUUUUUGUUUCGGUGAUUAUGAGAAGCAUAAGCAUUUGACUCCAAAUACAACUCAAAAUUUUCAUUGACACCAGCCACUUGCAUUUUUUUCUUCCUUCUUUUUCUAAAAUGCUUAAAAAGGAUGAACAAUUGAAAGUUACCUAGCAAGAAAGAUAACUUGGAAACCUUUGAUGCUAAAAAAAAACUUCUAAAUUUAAAUAAAUUUUAAACUAAUAUUAAGUGCAUAAAUUCCAAAUCUCUAAAAGCCGAGAUAAGGUUUGGAAAGUAAGAAGAAAGAGAAUGAUUGCAAUACUCAAAAUAUGCAUCAUAAAGUUAGUCCUAAAAUAUGCAUCAUAAUUAAGAAAGUUCGCACACAUACUGAAUAAUUAGAGAGGUUUAUUCACCAAGUUUAGAAAGUUUUGCAUUUAUCCAAAUUUUUUAACCUUUAGAAUAAUAACAAAUUAGAAUAGUAGACUGUCUACAAAGCAUUUAAUUUUAGUCACGAUAAGAUAGCUGAAGGUUUGCAUGUUCAUCUUGGAUCGUUUCUUCUUUCUUAUUGCUUCUUUGACUCAUAUAUGUAUUUUGGAUUUCAUAUACACUUAUGCCUAUAGCUAAAAGUUCUGUUCCAUACUCUUAGAAUAACUUAUAAUCGAGUAUAUCCUUAUUUUCACUUUUUAAGAUAGCAAUACCAUCUAAUUAAAGUUUUCUCAUUCUCAUAUUCUCUAAUUCCUCCAGCCAAAAGUCAUAGCUUGUUUUAGAUAUCUAUGAUUUUUAUUAUGCUAAAUUUUAAUAUAUAGGUCGCUUACAUAAAUAAAUUAAGAAGUUUGAUAAAUUAUUUGUAUUGUACAUUAACUAAUGUAAAAGGCUUUCAUGUUUCAUAGAUGCAGUUUGUUUUAUCAGUUUUAAAUUUUGCGAACUUAUUUGCAUUAAUAAAUAAAUGAAUAUGGUUCCUUUUUUUUUGCUUCUACAUAGAGGUCUAACAUUGUCAUCUAGAUUAUUAUGGUUUGAAUCAUAUUCCUACAUGUAUUUAAUGUGUUUUACAACUUAUUUAUAACCUUUGACAAUUUGAAACUUUUGCUAUAGACUUUUGUGGGUAUGACAUAGUGAUAGCUAUUAAUUAUGCUCUUUAAUGAAAUUUUAUUAUGAUUUCUAUUUUCUUCCUUUGUACAGGAAAAAAAUUAUCUAAGAGAAUGAAAAUUUUGAUUCUUGGAAUAGAGAAAAUUAUAUACUAAAAGAUACAUUGUUCUAGAUAAGGAAAUGAUCUCUAAACAAAAGCCCUCUCAAUUAGCAUUGUUGCGCCCCAUUUUUCGGAAAAAUAAUAUAAUAGAAAAAAUGAAUUUUUGAUUAAUUUUUGUUUGAAAUUGAUUUUUUAUUUUAGAGAAUAAAUAAAGAAAAAAGGGGCUAAAAUGGGACUUAAAAUAUGCGCCGGUUUUGGCCCAAAAUAAUAGUCAAAAAAGGGUUUUUAGGAAAAAAUAGGAGUCGCCACUUGGUAUUGAGUUUAGAUGUACCAAGUUAUCCAAAAUUCAUUUUUAAACAAAUAGAUAAAAAUAACAAAAUCUCUUUUAGAUGACUUCAGGUCUUUGAAAACAAGAGAAAAGAAUUCGAGAGUUACAGUUGAAAAAAGGGAAGACAAAGAUUUGAUGGAAUCAAAUCUAAGGCACCCUUCAACCUUGCGAAGGUUAGUUGCAAGAUUUAGAUGAAAAAUUUUCUAAUCUAACCUAUAAAACUUAUCACAUUUGAAUGUUUCUACAUGUAUGCAAAUCUAGACUUAAAGGAUAUCGGGAGGGUCGCAAUGUCUCUUCAAAGUUUAAUUGGUGCAAAUCAUAUUAUUUGUGAUGCCUAAAAAACGAUUUUUAGAAGAGGUCACGAAUAUGCAAAAGAUGAGACUCGAAAAAGAAAUUAUAAUAUAUAUAGAUUUUUAGAAGAGGUCACGAAUAUGCAUGACUAAAAUUCGGGACUCAAUUUUCCUUUCUAUAGAGGGAAUGAGAGCGUAAUAAAGUUAAAAAGCCAUACUCGUUCAUUUUCCAUAUUGGAAGGAUGACUCUCCUAACCUAAUCAAGCAAAUGAACUAAUCAACUUCUAAUUUUCUAAAUGAAAUGCAAAUCUAAAUGUCAUAUUUCGUGCACAUAAGAAUAAGGGAAAUAGUAUAAAAGGGAAUAUCAUGCAAAGUGAGAAAAAAUAUCCUAAAAAUAAAAAAUAUGCAUGAAAUACAAUAAAUGUCAUGCAAAAACAUGAUUUUAACGCGCACACGAUCUAAAGGGUCUAGCAUUGGAUUUGCCCAUUUCUAUAGGCUCUCACUAGCAUUGAAGUAGUGAGAAAUCAAGGGAAAAAGCCACAACUAAUAUUGGACUAGUGUGAUAACCAUAGUUAUUAAACCCGGCCCGGCCCGGCGGUCGAACCGGUCAAACCGGUGACCCAGCCAUAAAACCGGGCCGGGUUACUCAUUAGAUCGGAGUUGCAAAGAACCCGCUUGAACCCGCUCGACCCGGACGGUUUAACCAUGGACCCGCUAGAACCGGCGGUUAUUGAUAAACCCGGUGGGUUUUGGCAAAUUUUUUGAAUUUACCAUUUUACCCAAUUUUUUUUAUUUUGAUCAAUCACACUACAUGGGCAUUAUCGUCUUUUCGCUACAUUUCUAGCCAAUUGGAAGAGAAAAUCAGAAAAAUUGAAAAGGGGCUCGGGCAUUCGGCCGUCAUUAGGGAUUUAGGCGUUUAGGGAUUUUUUCUUCUUUGUUUCUCUAAGAAGUGAGAACCAAUUGAGAACUUCUUCAACAUUUAGGGAUUCGGCCAUUGUUUUGUCGGCAGCUUAAUUUUUCUUUCCUUUGCUUUGCUAGUUGCUCUGAGAGUCUGAAGCAAGCAAUUAGAAGUUCGAAGUUCAAGCUUCGAAGUGGAACUCCAGAAUUCUUCCACGAAGCUGCCGCUGCCAUUGAAGGCUUGAAGCUUUGUUGCCGUUAAGCCACCGAAGCCAGGUAAGCCAAUGAAGCCUUGCUCUGAGAGUCUAAAUGCUUGAACUUGAAGCUUUGUUGCUAGUACUGUGAAGAAUUUUAUAUACUUUUUUAGUUAAGACAAGCACUGUCUUAAAAAAAAAACGCAGAAUACUAGUACUGUCCCUCUAUUUUUUUGACUUGAAAUUGCAGAAUUAUGAGUAAGUAUAUAUGUUAAUCUUAUCUAGAUCUAUCAUUGGGUCCCCUAAUAGCAUUAAUUUGACUAUCCAUUCGAGCUGAAUCGGGAAGAAAACAAAUUGCAGUAGGAUGAAGUUCUUGCAUUGAGGAGUUGGCUGGUUUUAAUCAUUCGUGUAUUUGACAAAGGUGAAAGUGCCACGUACGGGAGUCAGGCUUGUCUUUGUGGACUAAAUGGUAAACCCAAAAGAGUUGAUAUAUUACAAUAACCAGUGAGAUACGUGGAGACCUUACCAAACCUAUACCAAACAAUUAGCAUCAUGCGGCAAUGCCAAGUUGACAAAAUGUUAGUACAUAAAUGAAUCUACCAUGAAAAUUUUUUGUUUUCUUUCUUUUUUUUUCUUCUUAAGUUUAAGAGAAACUUUAAAUUGUUAAUGAACUAAGAAUUGGUCUAAAAAAAGUUUAAAACUUGCAAGAACUAGGUUUGAUUUUAAGAUUCUCAAAUUAUAUGUUCGAGAUAUCAAGUUAUUAUCAAGUUAUUCUCAAAUUAUAUUACACAGUUUCCCUGUGUAAUCACCACUGAAGGUGGAACGCAUCAAAGCUUCCAUGUGUGUCAAUUACAAUAAUUUCUAACAUGUUUGAAUCAGUUAGAUACAAACUCGAAUGGAUUGCUUGAUUUUGAGGAGUUUGGGACUAUGAUGGUUUUCCAGUUCUUGAUGGUUAGAAAAUUAAUUAGCAAUUGUUUCUUCCUACCGCUAAAGAAAUCUUAUCUAUUGAUUUUGAGGACUUCAGCGCUAAUGAAACUUGGAUUUUGGAUGAUGAACCUUCACAGUUAACUUCAGCUGAAUUAGAAAGUUUUAGGAAUGACAUAGCUACAUUUGCUAUUAGCCGACAAAGUGGUGAGUUAUUCUAUUUGUGCCAUAUCUUUGCUUAUUCUUUGUUUUUCAUUUUUGGCUAAAUAUUAUCUAAAUUUAGUGAAUGAUUCAUUGAUUUUUGUACUUAUGUAGAUGAAACUCUAAAUUUGGAUGAUUUGGACACUGAAGAUGAAGAUGAGACCAAUAAUGAAGAAAAUGUUGAAAGAAAUGAUCUUAACGCAGGCUGUGAUGUAAAUGAACUUGGUGGUACUGAAUUUGGAAGAAGUUGGGAACCAUGGGUAUGAAUAAUAGAUGGAGUGUGCUACUCAAGUGAUAACUGUGGUGUUGUUUAUGUUCAUGACUUUAUGUUUGGUUGUAUUGAAUUGGUCGUUUAUGACUUAUGUUUCUUGGGUUGAUAAUUAGUUUUGUCAUUUAUAUUUGUGUGUAAUUUACUGAUUUUAGUUUGAAUUCAUGAAUUGUGGAUCACAUAUGGUUAUGGAUUAUGUGUGUGAAAUGAACUAUGAACUAUGAACAGGUUAUAACUUGUUAAGAUUUAAGAAUUUUUGUACUUAUAUUAUAAUUUACAUGUUUAUUUAAUUAUAUUAUAUAUAUUUUUUUAUUAUAUAUUGUGACCCGACGGUUCAACCAGUGACCCACCGGUUGAACCACUGACCCGUCAACCCGGUCCUCUUGCCGGGUUGAUGUCCGGGUUGGUUUUAAUAACUAUGGUGAUAACGUCAUGCAUUUAUUAUAAAUAAAUAAACCUUAUAAACAUAAUUAAAACAAAUAAACACAUAAAGCACAUAGAGCACAUAACACAUUAGCAUAAUAUCUAGAUACAAAGACUCUAAGAAAAAUGAGUGAACAUAUAAGCACACAAGCAUGCAAGUACACAAACAAAUAACACCUAACUAUUACAUUUGGGUCCUAACUACAAUCUAAAGGGGGAAUUUGAAAAAUAAUAACCUAAUUAUUACAUUCAUCUAACUAAUUACGUUUUUUGGCAAAAAUAAAACCUAUCUAUUACAUAGCCUAGUUAAAUAUAUUUCUUGGGUAUCUAUCUAUUACAAUUUGGCAUUUAAAUGCUUCUCAAAUAAUCAUCGAAAUUAAAUAAAAUAAAUGAAACUUAAAAUGAAUAAAAUGAGUAAAUAAAAGAAAAAAAAGCACAUAAAGCAUGCAAUUACACAUAAAAACAUAUAAGAGCACAUAAAAGAAUUUAAAAUAAUAAAAGAAGGUAUCUCCCUUGAAGUUAUGAUUAAAUGAGAUUAAAUCUGCCAUAUUUAUACUCAAAAAUCAAUAAAAUAGUCAAGGUACCAAUUUAAUUAACAAAUAAAUUAUAAAGAAGUGAAAAUAACCGUAAAAUCUACCAAUUAAAAGCGUUUAAAUGAAGUAUAAUUAACAAUUAAAGAAGAUAGACAAAUUAUACUUAAGGAAUCCAAGCUAUUAGAGACCUAAUUGCAAAAAUUGAAAAAUUUUUUGGGAUCAAAUUAAAUUAUUACAAAAAUGAGGGUCAAAAUCGAAGAAAAUAAAGUUUAGGGAUGAAAUUGAAUUUAAAUAGGGACCUAAUUGAAAGAAGUCUAAAGAUUUUAGGGAGAUAUUAAAAUUAUUUAAAAGUAUAGGGGCCAUAUUGUAAUUUCUGUUAUUAGAUUUCUUAGGAAACCAGGCCACUGGGCCAUUUUAUUUGUUUCUUGGGCCAAAUACCAUCUCAGCCCAAUGAAAACCCAAGACAGGAGUACGGGCUAGCCUGCCAUUUUUCACCACUAACCCAACCGAAAUGCAUGGGCUAUAUCCCUUCAAGCCUAUGUCAAACCUAACCAAAAUAAACCAAAACCCACUAUCAAAACCCAAACAAAAAUAACCCUUAACACAACCUAACCUAUUUUACUAAAUCCCAACAAGGUAGUAAAUCUACCAAAAAUUGUUAAACCUUAAUUAUGUGUUAAAAUCCAGAAUUAAUUUGCUCAAAAACAUACUUAAGACAUGCAAAAGAGGAUUGAAACUUAAAGGGGAAAAAUUAAUUCAAUUUCAUAAGUUUUGGGGCCACUAUAUAAUUAUGUGAAAAUUGGAGGGCCAAAUGCAAAUUUUCCAGAUUGUUCAUGCAAGCGUCGAAGCUUUCUCUGCAAAAAAUUUGUAGUUCACCAAAGCACAGCAAAACAACCCAAACGUCCGCCAAAAAUUCAAGCCCAAAUACACAAGACAGUGGUCUAAGACCCAAAUGCAAUGUUUAACAUAAGGUUGUGCAAUAAAAUCUAAACUAUUGUUCCACAAAAUGAGCAGGAAAAAUGCAGCAAAAAUAAGAAAAAAAAUGUAGGCAGAAUCCGGAUGAUUUUGACACAGAUUUAAGCUUAGAUGGCAAGGGAAAAAUGAAAUACAUCGCCUUUGAUGCUUUAAAAGGGCGAAAUAAUGCUUUAGGAUCUAGACGUGGGAAAGUCGCAAAUGGAAGCUCAGUUCUUGCUGCGAAAUUUCUUCAAGGGUUGACAGUUUCGUGACUUUGGGUCUCAAUUCGACUGACUUGGAGUUGUUUUUCGUAAAUCGUUUUUGAAGCGCAGAAGUAAAGAAAUGCUCCUAACAACUUGAAAUCUGAUCAGUAUUUGAUGAGAAAGUCGGCUGAUGGCUCAGCCUGGUCACAUAUUUUUUGUAGAAAUUUUCUUGUUCUUUUUUUUUUUUUUUUUCGUUUUUCUAUAUUUUCUCUCCCUUUCUGCUUUUCCGCCGCCCUUUCUACCUUUCUCUUACCCUAAGGCUGUGUUUUGAAGCCUUUUAUAGGAACAAAACCUCCCUCAAAACCCUAGGAGCAAUGGUGUAGAUGAGCUGGGUUUUUGUGGCAUUUUUGAAGCCAUUGGAUGGCUUUGAUUCUAGAUUUUUCUUGAUGUUUCGGAUUAAGGUUAAGUGGCCUUGUACUAGGGGGCUUGGAGGGAAAGGAAAAUGCAAAAAAAUCGAGUGAAAAUGGGCAGCUGCGAUUCUGUACUGGUGCUCGGCUUCAUAACUAGUACGAAGGUUGAAGAAAAUAGCGUGCGUGCUUGGCACGUGCGCGUGGAAUUUUUUUUUUUUUUAAUACAAAAUCUGAUUUUAAUUUUUUCUUUUCUGCCUUUCAUUUUCUUUUCUUUCUAGUUUUCUGAAAAAAUAAAUUUGAGAUGAUUUUCUUUAGAAAAAGUAAGAAAUAAAAAUAAAAUAAAUAAAACAAAAGUAAAAUAAAAUGAAUAGAUAAAAAAUGAAAAUAGGAAUAAAAAUAAAUGACACAAAAUUUUUGGUGUCUACAAGCAUGUCAAAGUGAAGAUUUACUAUGAUCAUUUGAAAGUAAUCUACCAUAUAAUAGUCUCAUUUGACAUAACAAUUUUUUUAGCAUGCCAAAACGAAAAAAAGUAAUGUAAAUAGACUAUAUAUUUAGUUACUUACCUUGGUCUUGUUGCUUACUGUGCUAUUUAGAAAAAAAAUUGAUAAGCUUCAGUGCAAAACAAACACGCAUAGCUUACAUACUUUAAUUAGAUCAUGAAUUCAUGUUUAAAACAGUAAAUGGGCACAAUUUUAUGCAAAUCUUGGUAAAUUACUUCAAUAGUCCCUUAAGUUCUAUUGAAUAUAUUCAGUUCCUCAAUUUCUAAAAGUAUUAUCAAGUCCUAAAUGUAUAAAUUUCGUUCUAUUGAUCACAUAAACAAAAUUCAAUUAAGAAGAAUCUAAUAUCUACCCACUAAAUAAGAUUUCGUUUGAUGUUUCUUUGGCACCUUUUACAUUUAUAAAAGCAUUCAAAUCAAAGUAGAAAUUGCAUAUGUUUAUGAAUUUUGAUUUUCACAAAAAUUGAAUUAACCUUGCAAUUUGAUAAUAUUUCUUUCUCAAGCAAAACAGUUCUUUAAAAAUUAAGUAGUUUCCUUCUAUUGAACCCAUUUUUCCUGUAUUCUUCACUGGGCAUCUAACAUUCUAGAGUGUUAAAAGCUAAAUUAGAACUUUCACCAGUAAAACUAAAAAUUAAGGCACAAAAGUUGGCAUACAUUUUUUAUUCGGUAAAAAAGAUGUAGCAUAUAGAGAAUAGCUUAUUAACUACCAAUAGUAUUAAAAUGUGUCUGUAAUAGUUAAGUAACCAGAGAUAAGCAGUCAUACUCCAAUCUGGAUACCUUUGCCAUUCAAACCAUCCCUAAAUUUUUGGAACUUUAGGUUCGAUAUUUCUAAUCUAGUUUCUUAGUUUUUGAUGUGUUUUUGCAAAUAUAAUUAUCAUCUAUAUCUAUAUGUAUUCAAGAAGGGGUUUUUAGGAGAGAUCAUCUCAAUGGCUUCCAAACUUCCCAAUCUUUUUUCUAGAUUUUUGUAUUUAUUUUAAUAUAUAAAAAGUAGUGGGUUAUAACCAACCCCAUCACCAGGCAAAUCUAAAAUUUAAAACUUUUCCACUAUCUAUUUCAUAAACCGUUUAUAGUUUGUUAUUUAUACUUUAAAUCCUUAUUACUCCUUAAUUAAAGACAAACCUCAUUUGUAAGCUAUUUUAAUACAAUUUUACAUUUCUAUAAUUAAGAAGUACUUUAAUUUUACAUUUUUAGUAUCAAGAAAAGGAAAAAGUAGGAAAAGGACAAAAAAAUAAAUAUUAAUAAAUAUAGAGGAGGCAUUUUUGUCCUAAAACGUUAAGGAGACAAGCAAAGUGCCCAUUUAUUGAGUUGAGGGGGUAAAAUGCAACUAAAUAUAAAGUUAAGAGGCUCCUAUAACCGCCCCUACAAAUCCUAUAAUCAUGCUCACAUUUUCCCCACGUUCCUCACUCCACAUUUCUAAAACAAAAACCGACAACUACUAAAAUAUUUAAUAAAUUUUUAAAAAAUUAUUUUAAAUUUGCACACAUAUAAGGUGUGCCAUUCUCACCAGUAUUAAAUAGCAUGUGUUCAUAAAUAACAUAUACUUUGUUAUAGCAUACCCUUUAUGAUCAUUAUUUUCCUAAUAACAUAAGGUAAAAAGGAUAGAAAUAAAUAAAGAAUAUUGUAAAAUGAUUAAAAUUAAUAUCUAGAUAAAAAUAGCAAAGAGAAGAACGUAUUUGAUUAUAUGAGAGAAUGAUGAAAAAGGGCAAAAAAAUUAAAUAUCUAUAUCUAUAUAAAUUUGAGAAGGAAUUUUUAGCAAUAAGCUUCCACAUAUCUUCCCACUACCAAUUCUAUUUUUCUAGCAUUUCACAUUUAAUUUAAUUUAUAAAAUAUAUUUCUCUUAACUUCCACAUCUAUCUUCACAUUUGAAAUUGUUGGUUACUUUAUAAAAUCAUUUCAUUUCAAACUGUUGGUUAACGUGCAUGAUAUCAUAUUGAAACUUCAACCUAUCACGUUUUCAAUUGCCUUGCAUUAUUAAUGAUUCUACUCCAAUUAAAACUUCCAUAAUACCAUAACAAAUAUAACAUCCUUUCAUGCUUUCUUUUUUAUUUAAAUAAGUAAGAUUAUUUACACUCCAUUUUGUUAUUCACAAUUCAAUAAUCAUUUUGAUCAUAUAGUUUUCAUUAAUUAGACAAUAUGAUAAAAUAAAUGGUGGAAUUGCAAAUAAUAAAAAUUUGAGUGCAAAUAACAUUUUCCUAAAUAAGAAGUGGCUUCCACGCUUUUCUAAUUUAAAUAAGUAAGAAGUGGCUCCACUUAUAUAGGAAGUUAGUUUGAAGUUCAUUAGUGGAGGGUAAAUAAAGAGAAAACAUUGCCAAACUUAGUAAAAGUAAAAAAGUAAAUGAUAAUACUUUAUCUUUUAACUUAGUAAUGCUAAGUAAAAGAGCAAAAUUAAAUAGAAAACAAAAAAGAAGGAUUUAAAAAAUCAAGAAUGGUACCAUUCAUGAAAUCACUAAAUAAAAAACAAAGUAGUACUGGCCUUUUAACUUGGAAUUUUUUUUUUGAAAUAUUCAUUUUUGAUAAAAAUAAUGAUAAUAACAACACCAAUUCCACCAAAAAAUUUUAAAAAGUAACAUUAUAGUUUAAGAGAAAAACAUAGAACAUUCGACCCUAAAAUACUACUUAAUUUGUAUAUAUCUGACCCAAAUUUGACCCUGAUUAGAUUUGAAUAAGAGUGGAAAACCUAAACACUAAGGAUAACUUUUGGUAUCAUUAAUUAUUUUAUGUAUUCUUAUUGUUGUCUUCAUAUGUAAAUAUGUAUUUUCCAUAUUAAAUAAAUAUAUAUAUAUAUAUUGAUUGUAGUACUUGAGGAUAUUAUAGAUAUUAUUAGUUUUCAUUUUUAUUUUUCAUUUUUAGAUACUAAUAAUUGCAACCAUUGUAAUUAAUUUUCAAUUUUAUAUUUUCAUUAUGAUAGAUAAAGUUAAAUAUAUUGGAUCGCAGGGAUACGAAUUUAGAGAUUGGGCAUGGGGGGAAGAGGGAGGGAAAAAAAUGGUGAGGAGUUGAAAAGUGGUGAGAAAAAUUGAAGAAAAAAUGUGGGUUACAAGGAUGGACAGAAGAAGGAAAGAAGAAAAAAGGGGAUUGUUGAGAUAUGACAGAUAUGACAAAAAAAAAAAAAAAUAGAGAGAGUGGUACCAUGAUAGAAAAUACAAAAGUCUAGGAGGCAUCUCAUGACUAGUCGGCGGAUAAGAGAAGAGGGAAAUGAUGGUGAUUUUUAAUAAUUUUGAGAACUCUAAAAACAUAUAUUACAUAGAUUUUUUUUUAAUAUACAUUAAAGUUUAUGAAAAAUGCUAAUCUAAAUGCAGUCAACAAUCUUAGUAGUACAAGAUAGGAGAAAGAUUUUUUUUUCCAAAAAUGGAAGAAAAUAAAUUGGUUAUAAUUUUUUUUAUAUUAUAAGUUUUGAUAUAUGGGUAUAACAUAAGAUGUUGUCAGAUACUGAUAAAUUGAUUUUUUUUUAAGAAAACUCUUUUCAUCUUACCACCCAACCCAACCCUCUCCUUAAAUGUGUUAAUAAUUCAUCUAUCAUGUAUAUCAUUAUAAAUUAAAAUUUUUUCAAUAUGCCAAGCAUACACUUCUUUAAAAUUUUUAGUCUAUAUAUGUAUUAUUCUGUACCAUAAUAUAUAAAGAAAUAUAAUAUUAUUUUAAUUUGAAAUAUGCACGGGUCAAAAUACUAGUUAAAUAGUAUGAAAGAGUGUUUAUCCUAAUCAUUACACUAACAGGGACUGGUAGAACGAAGAUGUUAUGCUUUAUGCCCUAUAGUUUCGAUAAGUGUUGACAAAAUUUUUUGAAUUAAUAUUCCCUUGAGAUUUUAACAAUAAAUAUUCAUGUGGCUAUUGGCUAUGUAUAGUUAUAUUGCUAAAUACUAAAUUCUAAUCGGUUGGGAUCCUUUAUGCUACCAUCCGAUGCCAAAUUCAAUGCCAGUCCCAUCUAUCGUGUUAGAAUAAAAAAAACUUAAAUAAAUAGCACAUGACAACUUAAAUAAUAAGACACCACAAUAGUUGAUACUGAGUUGCCAUUAGAAAAUGAAACUGAGGAUCCCAUGCGAAAUUGUAAUAGUAAAAAAGAGACACAAAAACAAACCCCACCGUCCAAUUAAACAAAGCAUCCAACUAUACAACUAACAAUGCAAAGAAAAAAAUUUCUGCUAUACAACAAACAAUAUAAAGACACAGCUUGCAAAGUUAAGUUACAAAAUAUGGGAUCCCUUUCGAUAUGCUGCCUAAUCAUUAAAUUUUAAAUUUAGAGAUUUCUUAUUGAACAUUGUGUGCGUGUUGCUACUAAUAUGCAUAAACCAUUCACGAUUCAUCUUGUGUGUGUUGGUAGGGCUAAGAAGGACAAAUUGCAAAAUAACACAUUGCCAAAGAAAGCAAUAAAUUCAACAUCAUGAGUUAAGAGAUUUGGCAAAUUCUCUCACGGAUGAUCUUUCAAAAUUCUAAAACUAAAAAAAAAAAAAAACCAUCAAUCCUAUAACAAUCAGUAAUUCCUGAUUUUGGAGCCAAAAGAACCAUAUAAUGAUCAUGCGCUAUCCGUUGAAUUCAAGGUGAGCCAAUAUUUUAUAUUUUAUGUUUCAGUAUUUCAGUCUUAGACUAUAACGUAUCUCAAAAAGACUAAAGCUCUACGGAAACUUUGUGAUUUAACAAAAAGGAGAUAUGAACCUUGAUAUUGAUGAUGCUAUGGGGAUGAAUUCUUUGGAGAGAGACUCAAAGCAGAAGAUAAUUACCAAGUUAAUGGAGAUCAACAGAGCAAAUAAAGAGCAACUGAAGUGAUUUUCUUAGACUGGACUUCUACUUUCAUCGAUUUCUAGAUUUUUUUCUAUUUAAUUAUGCUAAAAACAUAGAGAAAAUAGAGAAACCCUAUAUGCUUCACUCAUGCCAGUUAAGGAAGUGAAAGAAAUACAACAAAAGGUUUCUUAUAGGCAAUUCCCCCAAAAGAUUCCGUUCCGAUUAGCUGUUUUUGGUGUGUUUUUAAAAAACUUUAUUCCAGCAGAGUAUAUAAAAAACUUUAUUUUAGAUUUUUUUGAGUUUUUUUUAUUUGUGUAUUAUUGUAGCAUUGAAUUUGAAAAACUUGUAUUUGAAAAAUAGGGAAAUCCAAACGAAAAAAAAAGGAGAAGUAUGAAUUUGGUUGUUAUUGGUGUAAUAUGUUUUGGAUGUGGUAUGUUUAAGAAAGGUUAGAAAGAUUGUAAUCAUUUGUUUAGGAAGAUUAGAUUAGAAAGACUUUAAUCAUUUGUUUAGGAAAUUGUGAUCAUGUAGGACUCAAAACAAGAUUAGAUCAGGUGAGAAUUAUGAGGAAGGGUAUUUUAAGCAUUACAAGAAAAGUAAGAAACACCAUUAUAUAAUAUAGUAAUAGAAAGAUUUUAAUCAUUUGUUUAGGAAGAUUGUGAUCAUGUAGGACUCAAAAAAAGAUUAGAUUAGGUGAGUAUUAUGAGGAAGGGUAUUUUAAACAUUACAAGAAAAGGAAGAAACACCAUUAUAUAAUAUAGUAAUAGAUUUGACAACUAGGAACUAGGAUGAAGCUAAUUAUAAGGUUGUCAAGAUAUGUUUUACUUUGUUUCUCGGACUUUUAUAAUAGUGUGCAAUGAUUGAUUCUCCAAAUCGUUAAUUGUGACCAUUAAUCUCUUUCGUAUUAAUAAAAUAAAAUAAAUUAUUUUCUUAAACCAUUAAUCUCAUACCCAACUAGAUCAUAGCAUAAACCAAAAAAUUUUUUUUUUUGGAUGAUAGCAUAAAUAAUGUUGCAACAAAUUAGUCACAUAAGCAUCUAAUCUUAAGAUAACUGAAUUUUACGCAUCCAUGGAAAGGACAAAGUGCAGGAGAAACAUUAAUCUCCAAUGGCUUUUCUUGCUCUAGGAAAUGGAACUCAGUAUAUGUACUGAUAAAUGUUGUCCAAGUAUACAAGUAUAAAAGGGCCUAUCUUUAUAGGCACAUAAUAUCUAUGGCAAUACAAAUUUUAAUCUUAUUUAAAGUAAACUACUUUUCUUGCCAAAAUUGUUCUUCAUUCCCCCCCCCCCUUUUUUUUUGAUGAAAUAUGGGGUUGAUUGUGAACCACAGGGGUGUCUCAUAGAUGGGUACGAGCGUUAGGAAUGAGUAUCAAUACUAUUGGUACGUAAUGAUGAUAAUCAUUCAAUAUAUAUUGAAUCACAUUAUUCAAAAUUUUAAGUUUAGAGUAAUACAUUUAAUUGAAAAAUACAUAAUUGACCAAUAUAAUUCAUACCAAAAAAUUUAGCGAUAAAACCACAUAUUUUAACUCGAAUUUGGAAUAAAUAAAUGAAGAACAAUGACAUGUAAACAAGUAGACAAAUAAUUACUUUGGCAGUGUGCAAGGUUUUAGAACUAGUAUGCCAAAUGAUUGGCAUGUUUGCAUCAAUGUUUUCAGAACCGGACCGGACCGGCCGGUUCAACCGGUUGGACCGCGAACCGGACAUGCCACCGGUCCGGUCUGGAGCUAAAGCCGGAGAUUAAUAGAAAACCGUUAGAAACCGGUUGACCCGGACGAACCGUGAAAAACCGCUUGAACCGUAAACCGGCGGUUUUUGAAACUUUUGUGAACAUUGCAAAAUUAGUUUCGGAACUGUGGCUGAUAAGAAUCGAACAUGGGUUCAUAGGAUUGCAAGGAGGGUUCUUUACCAUUAAGCCACAGGUCAGUUUGUUAUUUGUGGACAUCUACUUAAUUUAUUAAGUAAAAAAUUGAAAAUACCCUAGCACUAAAAGUCUAAAACACGUCAGCCUCUUAUUCCUUUGUUGGCUUCAAUUCCUUGGUGUCGGCGGCUCAUUCAAUCAUUCUCCUCUGUUCUGUUUCUUUUUCCUCUUCUCAUUUUGGCAUUUCAGCCGUGAAUUGAAUAUUGAUCUAGUUUGUACUAUUUUUGCACGAUUUCUUCGGCUCAGUUGCAGAGUUGAGAUUCGCAAGUAAAUUUUGAAGGAAAUCCAAAGAAGUACUAAUCUAGUAAUCAACUUUUUCUUUUUUUAUUUUAUUUUUUUUCAUGAAUUUGUCCUUUUUUUGUCUAUUUUUUGUCAUGUAAAUACACUCAAAUGCAAUACUAAACUACAUAUAUCUUUGAUUUUUGGAUAAUUUAUGGUUGUUCUUUGUUUUAAUUGGGCUAAAAUUUGUUGCAUGUAAUUCCCUUUUUUCUAUUUUUUGGUUCAUUUUGAAUUUAGCAAAAUAAAAUAUAAUAAAGACACCUAUGCUAUGGGCAAUUUCAUUUUAUAACUAUUAUUGUUUUCUUCCAUUAGUUUUUUUUUUAAAUUUUAGUUUGUAUCCUUCUUGCUUUGUUGGGGGAAUACAAGGAAAAAGACAGUCCCGUGGGUUGUUUUUUUUGUUUUUUUAACUGAUGCAAAUUCCAAACAGUCCAACUUGAUUUUUUUGCUUGGACUGAUGUUGAAGAGAAAUUUAAAUAAAUGAAUGCAUAAGAUACAGAGAUUGGGUAAGAAAUGCUCCCAGAAAUAUUGUUGCAAAUAGAAAUAAAGACAAAAUAUAAAUAGAAAAAAUAUAAAUUGAAUAUGGCAAAUAUUUCAUAAACCGAUUGUGCUCUAUUUCAUGUCCAAUUUUCAUCGAAUUUUUUUAGUACAUUAUUUAUAGGAAAAGUAGAAAGAAAACUUGCGGUAAAUUACGAUAUUUUGGUUAUGUUUAUCAUUCCAAUUCAUGUAUAAAUUUUAGGAAUUUUAUUAUUAUCUCAACUUAAAUUUAAUUUUAAGUUAUUUUAGUGAUUGCAUUUUAAGAACUUAAGUUAUCAAUAACUACUUUGGAGCAUCAAUAACAAUGCUUUUAAAUUUAGUUUUAGCACUGAAGUUGCAUUCCCAAAAAAAAAAAAAGAAAAAAGCAGUGAACCGGUGAACCGGCCGGUUGAACCGGUCGGACCCGGUCGGACCUCGAACCAAUCCCUUCUCCGGUUCAUUGGCCGGUCCGAGUUUAAAAACAUUGGUUUGCAUCCCACCAUCCCUUUCAAAACAAAUUUGUAUACUGAGUCAAUUUUGGAUUGAUUGAUGAUACAAUAUUACAAACAUAUUCUUUUCCAAAAGGGUAUUUUCAUUAUCACCAGAUAUGUGUGUUUAUAAAUAUUCCUCAAUCAUGUAUAUUUGUCAUGAUUUAUAAUUUGUCUUCACAAGAAUAUCCCCGAUGCAAAUUUGUUAUUGUAUGUAUGAAAGGGAAAGCAACAACACCAGUGGAGGCACCAACGAGGACAAUGUAAUAUCCCAUCUAUUGCACAUAAUCAUUUAUCGAGAUUGAGGCAAGGAAUUAGGAAAUGCCUUCUGCUGUCCUCAGUUCUGCCCUUUACCUUGUAUUAGAGGACUCAAAAACUCUUCUCAAUCCGGCCAUUAUGUGUAAAGAUAACACAAGCGACACAUGUAAUAUCAGAUGCAGCUCCUCAUGGUAAAUAGUGCUUGUUUUGCACCAUCGGCAGACCUGAAAAAACCUGCAGGGACAAACAAACAUAAGAUUUCAUCCAUCAUACAAGUAUUGGAAAGUGUAGAACACUUGAAUGUGAUACGUCCAAACAAAUAUUUUUGUAGUUUGUUUAUUAUGUUUCCAAUGUCGAAUUCCAAUAUAACUUUGCCAAUAGUUAUUCAACAAUAAGUAGGCAGAAAAGGAUGGCAUGAAAACUACGGCAUUACAACAAAAAUAAGAGGACAAACUCAUUUGUAUUCACUUCAAUAAGCCCAAGCAAGAAAAGUGUUCUGCAUAUUGUUUCACAUGUACUGGAGGUUUCUGCCAAUCAGAGCAGAUUUUGAUUUGGUUAAAAAAGAUUAAAGAAUUUGCUUUCUUUUACUCUUUACUGACUACAAGAAUUUGUGAAAUUAUAGUUUAACUUUAGAUAUUGUUGUCCAUGCAUAUCUAGAUGGGCCUGGAAGCUAGAUCACUUCCCCAUUAAAGAAAUAAAGAGAGACGUUAAAAGAGUUUGUCCUCACACAACGGGAGUUUGAGUUUGAAGGUUCUGCAAAAAGUACGAGAUGGGAGACAACCAUAAGUGCCGGCUUGCUGCCCUUUAUACCAGCAAGGCUUAGAAAAGGUGUAGGCUAGGUCCUAACUCCUAACAAAUGAAGACCUGGAGAAUAUUCAUUAGGUAAGCUAGUGACAGUAAAUAACAAGCAUGUUUUGACAGUAAAUAUUCGUUAGCAAGCAUGUUUUGACAGUAAACAUCCCUUCAAGAAGUUUAUCAGGAAAACUCUUGCCAGCAGGCAUUCCUUUUUUGUAUACCUGCUACUGUUCCAAUAUAUAUGGUUCAAACAAAUUGAGCAGCCUAUGUAGUUGAAACCCUGGAUUAGCAAGAUCAAUUGAAAUAUGGAAGAGUCUGAGCCUGAGAACAAGAAGAAGAAAACUAGAAAUCCAAGAACUUCACAAGGAUCGCUUCGGCUUGUUCUGAAGCAUGCAGACCUUCUGGAUACUUUGUUGAUGAUACUUGGAACAAUUGGAUGUUUUGCAGAUGGUUCAAGCGUGGCUGCAAACAUGCUAGUGCUUGGCAGCCUUAUGAACAGUUAUGGUAGAGCUGCAUCUGCUUUCAACCCUGAUGACAUAAACAAGGUCAACAUACUACAAUCCUAUACUUCAAUAAAAGCAUGCACCUUAUAUUUGGUUUUGUAACAAGUAUUUAACGCUUUAUCAACUUUUAAUACAAUGACUGGGUUGGAAACUUUGAGUUGAGCAAACAUCUAGAUGAAAGAUAUCUGGCUAGCAUAUCAACCAAUCAACCAAUAGAAUGUAACACGCAUUUAUACACUUCUACAAGUUGUAAAAGCUGCCAACUUAAGGCAAAAACUGCCAAUCCUUUCUGUAACUCAAUCUUAAUAUACACUCUCUCAAUUUGCUCAUUGUGCAGUAUGCCCUUGAACUGUUUUAUGUUGCUGUUUUGGUUGGUUCCGGAGCAUUCUUAGGUAUGUCAUUUCAUCCUUCCACAACUCAUUGACUUCAAGAGUGUCCAAAAUACAAAAGAAAGCUCCUGAGGAAUCACAUGUCGAAGCCAUUCUUUUUUUUGCCCGAGGAAUUAAUAAAUGCAUCUGCUGUUUUCUAAUUGAGAAAACAGAAUAUAGAAAAAUCUGGAGUGCAAGCUAAUGCCUGGUAUUUUCGUGGAUAUGUUCCUCAUUUCAGAGUCAUUCAUGAACCGUAAUCUGUACAAUUCUGAUUCUACAAAUCUACAGAUAAAUUAUACACAGAUGUCAAUGUAGUAGAAGUGGAUUGAAAUGCAACGAAGAAACUACUCUAUUGCUUUUGUAGUCCCAAUGCCAGCAAACACCAGAACUUCUACUGUCCAGUUAGGUAUUAAUACUUAUUGGAGUGUGAUUUAUGUACUCCUCACAGAGGGAUUCUGUUGGGCACGCACCGCUGAAAGACAGACAUCUCGACUACGCACCAGAUAUCUACAAGCUGUCCUACGCCAAGAUGUAGGGUUUUUUGAUAAAGCUGAUGGAACAUCCAUGACAUCUCAAGUGGUCUUGAGCAUUUCCACUGACACACUUACCAUACAAGGAGUUAUCUCUGAGAAGGUCACUUGCAUUAUGGAUAGCAUAAGAGUAACAUAACACUUCACCUAGUUUUUAGAAUUUUGUAGGUUACUAAUUAAUUUCAUCUGUCCUGCAAUUCAGAUUCCAAACUUCAUUACAAAUAUGGCAAUGUUCACUACUGCUCAAUUAGCAGCAUUAUAUCUUUCCUGGAGAUUGGCAGUUAUUGGCAUCCCUGCGCUCUUGAUGUUGAUUAUUCCAGGACUAGUGUAUGGGAAGCUAUUGUCUUCUGUUGGACAAAAGAUCCAAGAAGCUUAUGCUGUUGCAGGUGGAAUAGCGGAGCAGGCGUUCUCAUCCAUCAGGACUGUUUUUUCUUAUGUUGGAGAACAGCAAACAACAAGCAGAUUUUCAUCAGCUUUAGAACCUACUUUGAAUCUAGGCAUUAAACAAGGACUCCUGAAAGGAAUGGCGAUUGGUAGCAUUGGUCUUAUAUUUGCAGUUUGGGCACUAGAGGGCUGGUACGGGAGCAUCCUAGUCAUUGAAAAGGGGCUCAAAGGUGGGGAUUGUUUCACAGCUGGAGUUUGUAUCAUCUUUGGGGGAGUGUAAGUUCCAGAUGUCCUGAAAUCUUGACUUUCAAGUUCGUCGUGUAAUUAUAAUCAAUAUAUUGGAAGUCCACUGAUCAUGAAUUUUGUUGACACCAUGCAUGAAAUUGGUUAAUGGGUUUUGGACCAUUUAUGCAUAUCCCAACUUUUUGUGUUGUGGGUGUGUGAAAGCAGAAAUUCAAAAUUAUGAGAUUUAUAAGAUGACAGGAAUCAUUAGUGUUAAUUAGAAAGAUUUUAGGUCACACAAAUUUGCUUUCUAUCUUUUUAAAUUCCACUGGCUGUUGGCUAUCCGGAUAAAUUUCAAAUCCUUGUAAAUUAAACAAGACACACCGAUUAGAACUGUAAAAAUCUAGACAUCCACCUCUAAUCUAUUACCUACAGCCUACAAAAGACAGGCUAUACUAAUUUCUGUAUGCCCCCAUAGAUUUUUGGGAUGCUCAUCUUCUCAAUGUUACAUAAUAAGAAGCAUAUACUAAGAAGCAUUCUUUUUCCAGUGACUAACUUCUGUGUAUAAUCCAUUAUGUUCAAUUGUUUGGUUCCUUUCGAUUAUAGCAAAACUGACAACAAAAGACUGCAAAAAGAAAAUAUGCUGCUGGAAUUUUAAAUUAACCUAUGCAAGACAAUAAUUAUGUAUUCAAAAAUUGCAAUUUAAUGAGAUAUUUGUAAGUGAAAGUCUCCUGGACAGCAAAUAGAACUACAGAUUUUCAAGCGUCAAAAAGUUGACUGUUACUUCUUGUUGCAGUGCAUUGGGGAGCUCUAUAGUAAAUAUCAAAUACUUUGCUGAAGCAAAUAUUGCAGCUGCAACCAUUUUUCAAAUGAUUGAACGCAUUCCAAGCAUAGACUCUACAGAUCCGAAAGGGGAAACCAUUAAUGAUGUCAAAGGUGAAUUGGAGUUCAAGGACACUGACUUCGCAUAUCCAACUAGACCAGAUAACUUAGUACUUAGAAAGUUCAAUCUCAAGGUGAUACCCCGCCAAACUGUUGGCUUGGUUGGUGGCAGUGGUUCAGGGAAAUCAACAGUGAUCAAUUUGCUUGAGAGAUUUUAUGAUCCGCUUGGAGGAGAAGUAUUACUCGAUGGGAUUAAUAUAAAGACCCUACAACUAAAAUGGUUGCGGAAGCAAAUGGCAUUAGUUAGUCAAGAACCUAUACUUUUUGCAACAUCAAUCAAAGAGAAUAUUUUGUUUGGAAAAGCUGAAGCUUCAGAAGAGGAGAUUAUCCAAGCGGCCAAAGCUGCCAAUGCGCAUAACUUCAUCACACAAUUACCAGAAGGAUACGAUACUCUGGUAGGUCAAAUGUCGGUUGCAUAUGAUUUGGCUUAUCUAUGCCAAUAUUUCCUAGGAAUUUUCUCAGUAUGUAAAAGAACUUUAUGUAUUUUCAGGUGGGUGAACUUGGAAUUCAGAUGUCUGGAGGGCAGAAACAGAGGAUUUCCAUUGCAAGAGCAUUGCUCGUGAACCCAAGAAUCUUGCUGCUUGAUGAAGCCACAAGUUCACUAGAUUCACAUUCUGAGAAAGCUGUUCAGAAUGCCUUGAAUCAAGUCUCACAGGGACGUACUACUCUUAUAGUUGCACAUCGUCUUUCUACCUUGCGCAAUGCUGAUGCAAUUGCUGUCAUUCGGUCAGGACAAGUUGUAGACUUUGGUUCACAUGAUGAACUUGUUCAGAACAAGUAUGGUCCAUAUUCACUGAUGGUGCAACAACAGAAGAAACUCAUGAAUGAUGAAAUAAUUUGUACGCCUAAAGAAGCUGAAGUCCACAGCUCAUCGAUCACUGAAACGAACGCUCCAGCGGAAAUGAGGAUGACCUAUCCAGCUUCUUCACUUUUCCUCCAUGAGAAGCAAAAAGACCAGGAAGUGAUGGAUCAAGAGUAUAGUCCCCCUACUUAUCUGCAAUUGUUGAAAAUGACCACACCUGAAUGGAGUUCAACCCUACUGGGAAGCCUUGGAGCCCUACUCUAUGGAUUUGUACAUCCAUUGCAUUCUUUUUGCCUAGGUGCAUUAAUAUCCGUUUACUUCAUCAAUGAUUACAAUGAAAUCAAGUCACAGACAAGAAUAUAUUGCUUUGUCUUCGUGGGCCUAUCAGUUGUUGCUUUCAUAACAAAUACAAUUCAGCAUUACAGUUUCGGAAUAAUGGGAGAGAAUCUGACCAAGAGAGUUAGAGAGGCAACCAUGGCGAAGAUCCUAACUUUUGAGACACAGUGGUUUGAACAAGAAGGUAACAGUACUGGUGCUUUGUGCUCAAGAUUAGCUAAAGAUGCAACCCUGGUAAGAUCUCUGGUUGCAGAUAGAUUGGCAUUUCUUAUUCAGUCAAUUUCAGGAGUUACUUUGGCAGUCAUUUUGUCACUGGUGUUGGCUUGGAGAAUUGCUCUCGUAGCUAUUGCACUGCAGCCAGUUACCGUUGGUGCCUUUUAUCUAAAGGGCAAGAUGAUGACUAGCAUGUCCAAGAAAAUAUUGCAGUCCCAAAACAGAAGCAAUGAGUUAGCAAGUGAGGCUGUUGGUAACCACAGAAUCAUUACGGCAUUUUACUCUCAGGAUAAGGUCAUGACAUUGUUUCAGAAGGCACAAGUAGGCCCCAAGAAGGAGAGCCGCAAGCAAUCUUGGUAUGCUGGCCUGGGGCUAUUCACCUCACAGUUUCUUGGAGCAACAAACAUGGCACUACUUUUCUGGUAUGGGGGUAAACUGAUUUACCAUCAGGAUAUAUCAUUCAAGCACCUUUUUCAGACAUUUUUCAUCAUGAUGACAGCAGGAAAAGUGGUUGGAGAGAGUGGAAGCAUGAGUACGGAUCUAUCAAAAGGGACGGACGCAUUGAAGGCACUUUUCAUGAUUCUGCAAAGAACGAGCAUGAUGGAUCCGGAUGACCAACAUGCCAUCAUUCCCUCACAAUUACAUGGAAAAGUAGAACUAAAAGAGGUGGAUUUCUUCUACCCAACAAGACCAAAGCAACUGAUCUUAAAUAAUCUCAGCUUAACAGUUGAAGCAGGAGAAGUGGUUGCUUUGGUCGGUCAAAGUGGCUCCGGAAAAUCAACAAUCAUCAGAAUGAUUGAAAGAUUUUAUGACCCAUCAAAGGGUUCAGUCGAAAUAGAUGGCAUUGAUAUAAAAUUAUACAAUCUGAGAGCUUUAAGGUCACACAUUGCCUGGGUAGGUCAGGAGCCCUGUAUUUUUGCAGGAACAAUCCAUGAAAACAUUGCCUACGGAACACAGGGUGCAACUGAAGCCGAGGUUGUUGAGGCAGCAACUCUUGCAAAUGCACAUGAAUUCAUAAGGUUAAAUUACUAGUUCCGAAUUCUAGGAUAUUAUUUCUCACCUAGUCAACAAAUUUCUUUUAUUCUAUAGUUAAUCAUGUGAACUUUUCUAGUUGUGCUUACUAAUUUCAACCAACAGCUCAAUGCAAGAUGGUUAUGGAACUUACUGCGGAGAAAGAGGAGCGCAGUUAUCAGGAGGCCAAAAACAAAGGAUAGCUAUCGCUCGUGCGAUUUUGAAAAAGCCACGAAUAUUUCUUCUAGAUGAGGCAACAAGUGCAUUGGACGUUAAAUCUGAAAAUCUUGUACAAGAUGCCUUUGACAAGACCAUGACUGGUAGGACAUGCCUGAUUGUGGCUCAUAGACUAUCUACAAUUCAAAAGUCAAACAAAAUCUCUGUGGUUGAUAAUGGUAGGAUCAUAGAAGAGGGCUCUCAUGAUGAUCUGCUAGCAAAAGGAGAAAGUGGUGCCUACCAUACACUUGUAAAACUCCAACACCAGGCAACAGCGAAAUGAAGAGCAACUCAUGUUAAGGCCAAGGUGAAAAAGAUUCAUACAAAUCAACAUGUAUAGAGUCAAACAGUGAGAGUUGGUUUUUAUAAGCUCAAUUUGUGUCAUAUCAUCAGGCAUUUCGUUGUAUGAUCUCUCCUAUGGCUAUUGAUAUCCUACCCGGUGAACUAGUUCCAGUUAAUCAGUCUGAUGUUUGUAUCAGCUUUUCCAAUCACUGAUGAUUCUGAGAUUGAUCACAAUAUAUCUGCUAUGCUUAGAUGACUGGAAGUUGGUUAAUGUAAUAUCUGUGUACAAACGUAAUGUGCUAAAGUUGAUUCAAGACUAAAUCAUGUGUAGUUGAGCUAUAAACUGAUGUUCAAGGUUUCUAAUAUAGCACAAACGAAAAUAUGAUUGUAAGACUGUUCCCCCCUUUACUUUGAUCAGGAAAUUGCUCAACCAACCAGGCAUUGUAGAAACAGACCCGAGGAAGCAGCAGUUCCUUGUUGGGCCAUUACUAAGAAAGACUUUGUUUAUUUUUUUGGCGAUUAUACUUCAAUGUACAGUUUAUGGUAGUUUAUAGGUUUACAAUUGAAGUUUUAUGCACUAAAUAGGAAAAUAAUCCAGUCAAUCUAAAUUAUAAUAAUCCUUUUUUUUAAUUGUUCAAGUUCUGUUUGAGUAAAAAUUGUACGAUUUGAAAGCUCAUCCAAUUCUAAGAGUUGAGCUCCUACUUUACAGAAAAAAUUGGAUGAUUUAAGUUUGGUUUGCUCUAAAAGUCAAGUUUAGACUUAGUUGUAUCUCAAAUUUUAUGGAUUUCAUAUUAUACAAAAUAAUGAGAUUUAAAAUACUUUAAGAAGGGUGUAUUAAAAGUUUCACAUGAACAAGUAUCAAAAAAAAAAUUUAAAUACAUGCUCCAAAGGCUCGAUUAAGAUAAACUAGCUCUCAAACCUGGUAAUUUUAUAUUGGAGCUCAAAGUACAUGCACCCCUAAGGCAAGGAAAACCAAGCAGAAGUACAUAACAACUCGAAAUAAACAUCUCUUAAAAUAAACCAGGAAUGAUAUAUUGCAUUUUGUUUAAGGCAAUUUUUUGAACCUUAAACGAAAUUAUUGUUUCAGUUAGAACAACGAAAACUGUUGCUUCAUUGGAUUAAAAGUACAGCAAUUUCAACUAGUAUGACUUUUCUUUUCCUCCUUUCUGCCUUUUUUGGUUCUUUAAAGUGGGUUUUUUUUAUUUUUUUUAUUUUUGGUGCUUGUGUUUGUCCGUGUGCGUGUGACUGUGUGAGUUGGGGUAGAGAAGAACUUGAACAGGAAAAAAGAAAAUCCCUUGAUCAUACCAUUCUGCUGUCCCCAUUCUUCCUCCAUCCCAAGGAAAAACAAGAAAAAAACUUCAAAACAUCUCAAGUUGUAUCCAAAAAGUAGAAAGUCAUAUGGCAACAGGGUAAAAUGCAAAAGAUUAGCUAAGUGUGAAAUUAUAUGGAACCACAAGUAUGACCAAAAGUAGGAGACUGCAAAAUGAAUAGAUGAUAUUCCUGAUUUCAUUUGACUCAAAGCAAAUCAGAAGAAGGGAUAUUCUAAGCAAAUCAGAACUAAAGACACACUUUCAAUAGUCAGAAAAUAAAAGAGUACGACAGAUCCAGCAUAAUAAUAAUAAUAAUAAAGCAUGUACAGUUUUAUGCACAAAAUGAACUUUUCACAAGAUAAAUAUCAAAUCAGGAGUCAGUCAACAAAAUUGUACCUCCAGCAGAAGUCUCUCAAUUCUACUUAGGAAGUGAGAAAAUUCCUCUCUCGUUGAAAUUUACAUGGACUGGAUGCUGAUAUAAAACGCAUCAAGUAGUAAACCAGUAUGAAAAGGCCUACCAUAUGCACGUUAAAACGUCCUUAUCCUAUCAUGCCCAUAUGCAAAUAGAACCAUUCUUGUCAGAUGUAGCUAGUGGUUUUCCAAAGCCACUCCAUGUACAACAGACAACUGAACCUUUGUGCUUCUUUAGAGUGCUUACUACACUACCAUUUGAUGUUGACCAAAUAAGAACAGAUCCAUCUGCCGAUCCAGCAGCAAUGUAAUUGUCAUCUGAACUGAGACAGGAUCGGCUCCAGUUAGAAGCAACUCUACUGCCAUUCGCUCUAAACGUGCCACAGAUUUCUAGACUCCGCAUGUCAAAUAAAUUGUGCAUGUUGUCUCUCCCACUCGUCAAUAUUAGAUUGCCAUUAUGGGAUAGAGAUAAUGAUGUAACAGCAAGUGAAUGUGCUGCAACUUCACUCAGAAGUUUACCAGUUUGGAUAUCCCACAGCCGAAGACAUCCAUCCACAUGACCUGAGAAAAUGGCUUGACCGUCCGUGCUAAAAGAAAGUGCAUUGCAAUUGCUGUGGAAGAGAAGUGUUUUCAUACAAUAACCAUUGUGCAGAUCCCAAACUUUUAUGGUACGAUCAUAAGCUGAGCUAACAACAUGGCGGCUUGAAACUUUACUAACAUCUACAGCACAUACUUUCUCAACAUGGCCCGUGAGAGUAUGGCGUGCUCGGCCCGAAUUUACAUCCCAGGCAACUAAGUUGUUGGAAACACUGGCAGCAAUGAUGGUUCUGUUAUCAUGGGUGAUAGAAAGAUCAAUAACAGAGCCCACACAGCCAUGAAAGGUGCGCACCAAUGCCCCAGUAGUUGUGUCCCACAUGUUUACUACUCGGUCCUGCCCUCCACUAAUCAAUUUGGUGGAGUUAUGCUCAAACAUUAUAGCAUCACAGCCACCGUCAUGUGCAGAGAUCUGUUGCUUGCAUAUGCUGGGAACAGUUGAUUCCAUGCAGUACUCAUCCUCCUCUCUCAGGCAGACCACACCAUCUACUUGUCGUCGAGCCAGCUGUUCGAUACUGCUAGCCUUCGUUUUGUUCAUCAUAUCUUCAAACGUGGCAUUAGCCUAACCAAAAAAAAAAAGGGAGAAUUCAUCAUGUUCAACAGGCACCAUACGCUGACAUGUAAAUGUUAUACUUCUUACUUAUCCAUGUUAGUACAAAGACUAUGAGACUUCCUUCAAUUUCUUAAUUCCAACAUAAAAAAAUAAAAUUACAGGCAAUAUAUUAAAAAGAAAAUGAUGCUUGUACCUCAUUUAGGUGUUCAGCUUCCUGCAUCUUCUGCAGCAUCCAUCGAUCAAUUAACAUCUUGUUUUCUGCUUCAAGAUCAUCAGCUCUAACAGUUGCUGCUUCAAGUUGUGUUUUCAGAUCAUUGUGCUCAGUCAUGAUAAGUUCUAGAGCUUCAGUCUUUUCUGCUAAGAGUGCGUUUAAACGAGAACAUUCCUCCCUGUAAUUAAAGAAAGUUCAGUCGCCAUAAAAUAACUAAAAUCUUUAGUAUCAUAUCUUGACAUGGGAAACAGAAAAAUCCAAAUUGGGUGGUCGAUAACACCUCAAUUGUGCAAGCUCAUUUUCUAGAUCAGUGAUAAGGGCUUCUUUCUCCUGUACCAAUGUUUUCGACUCCCUGGAUUCAGCAACUUCGACCACAAGCUGCUCUGACAAUCGAGCUUGAGCUUUAUAACAUUGCUGAAGUUCCAAUUCAAGAUUUUCAGCUUUCGUUUUCCAUUCUGAGCCCUUCAGUGCCACAUAUCAAAGAAGUCAAUCCAGACAUCCAAUGUCUAGUGAAAUGCCAAGGACAAGUAUUCACAACAGCAACACUUUCUAUCAGAUUUCUACUCAUCAAAUUCUGAAAUAUUCAAAGCAUACACAAAACCAAAGCCCUCGACGAAUACUAGUACUCAGCAUUGUCAUAUAAGAAUCCAUGAAAACAAAUGAAGAAUAUACACAGCAUUGUCAAACAAUCCCAUAAACCCAUGAAAACUUUAGUUGCAAACCUAAUAAAUGGUCAAGUUUAAAGCAAAUUCUGCCCCAUAUCACGCUCCUCAUAUCUUGCUGCAACCUUACAAUUUCGUCAAGGAAAAUAAAGAUAUCCACUUGCAUCUUUCAUGUCAUAAAGUUGUAAUCUUCUGAAAGUUAUUACUGCCUCACUGUGCAGUCUAAACAAAUAUACAACUUAACAACUUAAAGCGACAACUCAAAAUAAUCAAUGAAAAUUAAAUAAAGAAUAAAAACAAUUAAUUUUUAAGCAAGUUAACAUGGCAGGCAAAUCAAGAAUGCUAUAAAUAGUUAAAGGGGCCCCGAAUGCUUUGAUCUUAAAACUAGUUCACAACCAAGAAAAUCAGUAUUAACAGUAGCAAUCAAGUUGAAUAUCAGACGAAUCAGGGAGAUUAUCCAAAAACCAAGCUAGCUAAAAGAAGCAAAAAAAUAAAAAUUCAAUAGCGGGGUCGGCCGGCAAGUACCUGAGAAAGAAUCGGCCUAGAAAGAGCGAGGAAAGCUGGAGCAUGAGCGGCUUCUUCGACUAAAUGCCGUUUUCGAAGAGCCCUGAUAGCUUGCUUGAUUGCUUCUUUUGCUACUACUAUAUCGUCCUCUGGUUCAGGCCUAAACCCAAAAGAAGAACAAGAAAAAUAUCAGAAGAAGAGAGAGAGAGAGAUAAAGUUUUAUCAAAGUGAAUUUUUAUAGGCAAACUGCAAAAGGUUGAAGGGUUUUAGUUGUGCUUACAUUAGACUGUGAAUUCUUAGUGUUACCAUGGCGGGGCUAUGGCGGAAGAGAGGAAGAGGGGUUGAUACAAUGGAUACCAGCUGAGGUUUCUUUUUUUGAUUUGGAAGUUGGAAGAGGGAAAUAGCGAGGAUUUACAGCAGCAAGAAAUUAGAAUGUUACGAGUUACCGGGCUGUUCACCUUGAGAGGGAUGGGGUGUUUGAGGAGGGGUAAUUCCGGAAUUUUGGAUUUUACCCUCUGAAGUGAAAAAAGGUCUCUACUUUACUCAAUGAAAAAUUAGCAUGUAACAAAAAACACUAAAUUAAUUGUAAAGGUCGUCAUGGUCAUGGUAUAACUUUUAAGAACUGUUAUCUUUUUCUUCAUGAAAGGGUAAAUUUAGCAUAUAUGCAAGAAAAUAGCAUAAGUUAUUCCAAUUUUUGUAAAAAUUCUUCCAUUUUGGUAACUUUAUGGAAGGAAAUGAGGAGUGUAUUGAGUGUUGCUUUCUUGUCGUAAAAAAAGUAAAACUUUUUUGUUUUAUGAAAGACUGGAUGCAACAAAUGUAAUUCAAAAUAUGGGAAGUUUUCCUUGUAAGUCAGCUCUUGUGAUGAUAUUUUGACGCUGUCAUCUCGUGCCCUAGUAAAAUUUUUUAAAAAAUUGUAAUUCCCACCAAAAUUGGAUGUUGAAGUCUUGGACUCAUUUUGGGAUAUCAACAUCAAGAAAUCAAGAAAAACUUCAAUUGUAAUUCUGGUAAAAGUUCGUAGUUUAGUAUAUGGAUUGAAGGAUCAAAUUUUUUGAUUUGCAGUUAAUCCAAAAGUUACUCAAAUGUACCAUUUUAGCUUAAAGAUGACUUAAUCUCCUUUAAGCUAACUUUUGACUUAUCUGAUUUUAAAUUCAUCCGUUCUCCCAUAGUAUAUGUGGGCGCUCACCUCGGCCCUUCUCGGAUCUUCAAUGCCGAGGUGAUUACCUCGGUUCCUUAGCGUUAGAACGUAUCUCAUCUUCGCCUUUCCGAGAUAAGUAUUGUCUCGGUUUAUCGAUUCAAUUUCGCCCUUGAGCAUGGUCAUUCGCCUUGACGUAUGAUGCUCACAGGCAAAACUGACUGAUACCUGACAAAUUGAUAUCACCGCCGCGGCCCUCUUGUCCAGGCCUACUUCUGACACCGCCACCUUACACUGUCGUGCUACAGUUGACAGGGAGUAAAAUUCAUUAUUCCUCCCAUAGGUCUCUCUACUAUAAAUACCCUUAUACUAUUUAUGAAUAAGGUAUGCAAAAACUCCAAUCUAGGGCUGCAAACGAAUCGAGCCGCUCGCGAGCGGCUCGAGUCAAGCUCGAGUCGAGCUCGAGCCAGCUCGAGUCAAACUCGAGCUCGAACUCGAGCUCAAAAUAUUAAGCUCGUUAGCUCGCGAGCUUGAAUAUAUAUAUAUUUUUUUUUUAUUUAAUAAUAAAAUUACGUAUAUUAUAUAUAUAUAUUUUUUUUAUUUUUUAUUUUCAUAGUGAAAUUACGGAUAUAUCCUUAAUAUUUUAUUAUUUAUUCAGAAAAAAUAUUAUUUUAUUUAUUUUUUUAAAAAAUAAAAUAAUUUUUUUUUAUUUUUUUCGAGCUCGAGCUUGAUAAAAUUUAGCUAAGGCUCGAGCUUGAUAAAAUUUAGCUAAGGCUCGGCUCGAUUAGCUCAAAACUCGACUCGGCUCGACUCGUUUGCAGCCCUACUCCAAUCUAAUUGGUUUUAUUUGUAACUUCCGACCCAUAACUGACUUCAGCAUUGGAGUGGGAUCGGGUAUAAGACCCCGCACGCUCUUAUAUUUCAACAGGUGAGUUCAUGCUGCCGACUUGCUCGCCCGCCCAAAAAUCACCUCAUCAGUAUAAAAGUAAGAAUAUAUAAAAAAAAAAUUCAAAAAUCAAUGUCCCCAUUUCAAUUAGGGUUCAGUUCGAACUCCGAUUUUCCCUCCGAAGUCUUCUUGUAAUUAUGGAUGGAUUAAGAUCCAAAUGCUAGAGUCAAAUGUGGAUAUCUAGAAGGUUUUACACUUUUACCAUCCGUCCGGAUAUAGGUACAUAUUCGAUCCAGAUUCAAAGCCCAGCCCUAAUGGCAGCAGCGUUUGAACCGUCAAAUGAAGUGUGCAAUAUUAGCAAUUAGUAGCACUCUUGGAGGAUUUGUUUUGCCUUUAGAAUUAAUGAGGAAAGUUCUUGGGAUGAUGCUUCUUUGGUAGAGAUGUUAUAAACCAUUUUUAAUUAUUUAUUUUUAAUGCAAUCUGAUACAGAUAACCAUUUUUCACUUAAUCACCACUUUCGCAAAGAAUAAGUUAAUAAAGAUCUCGAACUGUCUCUAACGUGUCCUAGCCCAAAGGCCAAAUGAAAACAAAUUACCUUUAUGUUUACUAACUAAAAGAAAAUCACAGCGCUAAACAAAACUGGGCAAAGAAAUACAUGUUUACAGCAAAAUCAAAGUGGUUUCGGUUUGAGCUUUAGGCAUGAAAUACAUUACAAAUGUACAAAUGUACAUUUGUACAGUAGGUAUAGACCACAGAAGGAAGGAGAAGACAUCAUAUAAAUACAAAUGUACAAAUAACUUGCUUCCUAUCAUGUCCAUACACAGAUAGAACCAUUCUUAUCAGAUGUUGCUAGUGGUUUUCCAAAGCCACUCCAUGAACAACAAAGAACUGAAGUUGUAUGUUCCUUUAGAGUGCUUACAAUUUUAGCAUUUGAUAUUGACCAAAUAUGAACAGAUCCAUCAACAGAUC
rnacentral:lncRNA from 1 species